AAAAAGUUUUUUUGGACGAGCCAUGAAAGAGGUAUUUAUCGAGGAGUUUUUGCGUGUCCUUUGUUUUCGAGUCGUGUUUGGUCGGUUUUAGGGCAAAUUCUAGACAAGCUGUCAUAUAUGGGUACCUAACUUGGAAAAAUUCUGUGAGUAGCAUUUUCAAGCAUGGAUUGGGUAGCAAUAAGUUAUUUUGGACGAGCCAAGAAAGAGGUAGUUAUCGAGGAGUUUUUGCGUGUCCUUUGUUUUUUGAGUCGCGUUUGGUUGGUUUUAGAGCAAAUUCCGUACAAGAUGUUCCUAACUUGGAAAAAUUAUGUGAACGGCAUUUUUAAUUGUGGAUUGGGUUAUAAAAAGUUAUGUUGGAGGAGCCACGAUAGAGUUAGUUAUCGAGGAGUUUUUGCGUGUCCUCUGUUUUCGAGUCGCGUUUGGUCGGUUUUAGGGCAAAUUCUGUACAACUUGUCAUAUAUGGGUGUAACACCCCAGAUGUAACUUUCCAUAUUUGCAACUUCAACUCUUGCCAUUUUUGGCUAUGUGUUAUGACAUUCCCUUCGUGGUCGGGUUUUGUUUUCCGUUUUGCUUUUUGCUUUUGUCAUGCAUCUCAUAUCAUGUCAUCAUGUGCAUUGCAUUUGCAUACGUGUUCGUCUUUUGCAUCCGAGCAUUUUCCCAGUUGUCCGUUUUGCAAUCCGGCACUCCCACCUCCUCCGGCGCACCCCUCUUUUUUUCUUUUCGUGAGCGGGUGUUGAACAUUCUCGAAAUGGACCGAGGCUUGCCAAGCGGCCUUGGUAUACCACCGGUAGACCACCUGUCAAGUUUCGUUCCAGUUGGAGGUCGUUUGGUACUCCAACGGUUAACCGGGCAACCGCAAAGUCCUUUUGUGUGUUGCAGCAAAACCCCCCUCCUAAUAGCCCAAAACCCAUCUAAGUCACUUCCAUGCUCUAGGUCGUUCAAUUAGGAUCGUGUGGGCGAAAACCGUGCUCAAUUUGGAGUCUCCUAGCUCCCUCUGCCUAUAAAAACACCUCCCCCUCCGAAAUCUGGGCGAAACCCUAGCAAAAAUCGUCCUCCGCGCCGCCAAACGCGUCCACUCCCGCCGGACGAACCCGCCGCCGCGCCCUGCCCACUCACAGCGCGACACGUGGCUUCGCUCCGUCGCCCGCGCCGCCGGCCCGCUGGGCGUGUAAUAUAUCGAAAUGUUCAUCUCGAGAUGCUCUUCAUUUUGUUCCAUUGCACCAUGUUCAUUUGAGUCCAUCUUGAGGCCCAAAUCUCUGGUGCAAGAGUGCUAGUUGCUGUUAACUGCUGUUACUUAUCAGAACUUGAGGAUUUGUUAUUUUUGUUGCUAUUAAUGUGUGCAUCUUACUGUCAUCAAGCUCACCAAGUCUGUAACAUGUUAACGAAACUUGCUAUGUUUACAUGGUUGCCAUCAUAUCUUCUGGUCCUUUUUGGCUUAUGGUCAGUAAGGGACUUUUGUUAUAUGCAUUUAGUAGAAUACUGACAUGCCUUGUUUUGCCAUGUUAAGUUCCUGUAGCAUGUUGAUUGCUUGCUCUGAACAUUGCUACCUGAUGCUGUUUAUGCCAUGUCCAGUAAUUUCACCAAGUCUGUGAACAUGAUAUCUUUUGCACUUUUGCCAUGCCUGUUUGAACCUCCUGUGGUGUGAUCUAGCCGUAGCUCAUUGUUCAUCUUUUGGCAAGCACCUCCUGUAGAUUACUGCCAUAUGCUUUGCUGCUAUGUUGGGGUGCUGUAGCAUUGUUACUUGUUACAUUCUAAGUGCUAUCAUGCUGUUAAUCGCAGAUUCGUGUCAUUCUUGUUUUGCUUGCCAUUUGCAAACCGUGCAUCCGUUUCCGGUGAUCUUUAUAUCGAUUUCAACCAAAAUCAUCUCAUCUUUCCAGUGGCAUGCUUGGUUUGUCAAUUUACUGCCUUGUUCAUCAUUUUUCUUCCGGAGCACGCAUAUGCAUCGCAUAUCAUAUCUUGCAUAUCAUUCAUGUAUUGCAUCAUGUUGCUUGUGCAUUUCCCGUGAUUGAUUGUGGUUCCGUUGCUUGUGUUCUUGUUUUGGGUAGAGCCGGGAGACGAGUUCGUGAACGAGGAACCUGUUGAGUACGCUUACGAGGAUCAAGCUUUCGACAACUCUGAGAACCUUGCAGGAAAGAUGACCAUACCCUCAAAAUCACUUCUAUCUUUGCUUUGCUAGUUGUUCGUUCUUUGCCAUGCUGCGCUACCUACCAUUUGCUAUAUCAUGCCUCCCAUAUUGCCAUGUCAAGCCUCUAACCAUCCUUUCCUAGCAAACCGUUGUUUGGCUAAGUUACCGCUUUUGCUCAGCCCUUCUUAUAGCGUUGCUAGUUGCAGGUGAGCCACUAAAGAGGUACUUAUCAAGGAGUUUCUACGUGUCCUUUGCUUUUGAGUCACGCUUGGUCGGUUUUAGGGCAAAUUCUGUAACAGAUGCCAUAUAUGGGUACCAAACUUGGAAAAUUUCUAUGAAUGGCAUUUUUUAAGCAUGGAUUGGGCAGCAAAAAUUAUUUUGGACGAGCCACGAAAGAGGUAUUUAUCAAGGAGUUUUUGCGUGUCCUUUGUUUUCGAGUCACGUUUGGUCGAUUUCAGGGCAAAUUCUGUACAGGAUGUCAGGUAUGGUUACCUAACUUGGAAAAUUUCUGUGAACGGCAUUUUCUAAGCAUGGAUUGGCUAGUAAAAGUUAUUUUGGACAAGCCAUGAAAGAGGUAGUUAUCGAGGUGUUUUUUCGUCUCCUUUGUUUUCGAGACGUGUUUGGUCGGUUCAAGGGCAAAUUUUGUACAAGAUGUCAUAUAUGUGUACCUAACGUGGAAAACUUAUGUAAACGACAUUUUCUAAGCAUGGAUUGGGCAGCCAAGCAAGAGGUAGUUAUCGUGGAGUUUUUGCAUGUCCUUUAUUUUUGAGUCGCGUUCGGUCGGUUUUAGGGCAAAUUCUGUACAAUAUGUAAUAUAUGGGUACCUAACUUGGAAAAAUUAUGUGAAUGGAAUUUUUUAAGCAUGGAUUGGGUUAUAAAAUGUUAUGUUGGACGAGCCACGAAAGAGUUAGUUAUCGAGGAUUUUUUGCGUGUCCGUUGUUCUCGAGUCGCGUUCCGUCGGUUUUAGGGUACAUUCCGUACAAGAUGUCAUGUAUGGUUACCUAACUUGGAAAAUUUGUAUGAACGGAAUUUUUUAAGCACGGAUUGGGUAGCUAAAAGUUAUUUUGGAUGAGCCAUGAAAGCGGUAGUUAUCAAGGAGUUUUUGCGUGUUCUUUGUUUUCAAGUCGCGUUUGGUCCGUUCAAGGGCAAAUUCUGUACAAGAUGUCAUAUAUGGGUACCUAAGUUUGAAUAAUUCUAUGAACGGCAUUUUUUAAGCAUGGAUUAGGUACCAAAAAGUUAUGUUGGACGAGCCACGAAAGAGGUAGUUACCGAGGAGUUUUUGCGUGUCUUUUGUUUUUGAGUCGCGUUUGGUCUGUUUUAGGGCAAAUUCUGUACAACAUGUAAUAUAUGGGUACCUAACUUGGAAAAAUUAUGUGAACGACAUUUUUAAGCAUGGAUUGGGUUAUAAAAAGUUAUGUUGGACGAGCCACGAAAGAGUUAGUAUCGAGGGGUUUUUUUGUGUCCUUUGUUUUCGAGUCGCGUUUCGUAGGUUUAAGGGCAAAUUAUGCACAAGCUGUCAUAUAUGGGUACCUAACUUGGAAAAAUUAUGUGAACGACAUUUUUUAAUUAUGGAUUGGGUUAUAAAAAGUUAUGUUGGAGGAGCCACGAUAGAGUUAGUUAUCGAGGAGCUUUUGCGUGUCCUUUGUUUUCGAGUCGCGUUUGGUCGCUUUUAGGGCAAAUGCUGGACAAGCUGUCAUAUAUGGGUACCUGACUUGGAAAAAUUCUAUGAGCAGAAUUUUUUAAGCAUCGGGUAGCAAUAAGUUAUUUUGGACGAGCCAAGAAAGAGGUAGUUAUCGAGUAGUUUUUGCCUGUCCUUUGUUUUCGGGUCGCGUUUGGUCGGUUUUAAGACAAAUAUUGUACAAGACGUCAUAUAUGGGUACCUAACGUGGAAAAAUUAUGUAACGACAUUUUCUAAGCAUGGAUUGGGUAGCAAUAAGUUAUUUUGGACGAGCCAAGAAAGAGGUAGUUAUCGUGGAGGUUUUGCAUGUCCUUUAUUUUUGAGUCGCGUUCGGUCAGUUUUAGGGCAAAUUCUGUACAAUAUGUAAUAUAUGGGUACCUAACUUGGAAAAAUUAUGUGAAUGGAAUUUUUUAAGCAUGGAUUGGGUUAUAAAAUGUUAUGUUGGACGAGCCACGAAAGAGUUAGUUAUCGAGGAUUUUUUGCGUGUCCUUUGUUUUCGAGUCGCGUUCCGUCGGUUUUAGGGUACAUUCCGUACAAGAUGUCAUGUAUGGUUACCUAACUUGGAAAAUUUGUAUGAACGGAAUUUUUUAAGCACGGAUUGGGUAGCUAAAAGUUAUUUUGGAUGAGCCAUGAAAGAGGUAGUUAUCAAGGAGUUUUUGCGUGUUCUUUGUUUUCAAGUCGCGUUUGGUCCGUUCAAGGGCAAAUUCUGUACAAGAUGUCAUAUAUGGGUACCUAAGUUUGAAUAAUUCUAUGAACGGCAUUUUUUAAGCAUGGAUUGGGUACCAAAAAGUUAUGUUGGACGAGCCACGAAAGAGGUAGUUACCGAGGAGUUUUUGCGUGUCUUUUGUUUUUGAGUCGCGUUUGGUCUGUUUUAGGGCAAAUUCUGUACAACAUGUAAUAUAUGGGUACCUAACUUGGAAAAAUUAUGUGAACGACAUUUUUAAGCAUGGAUUGGGUUAUAAAAAGUUAUGUUGGACGAGCCACGAAAGAGUUAGUAUCGAGGGGUUUUUGUGUGUCCUUUGUUUUCGAGUUGCGUUUGGUAGGUUUAAGGGCAAAUUAUGCACAAGCUGUCAUAUAUGGGUACCUAACUUGGAAAAAUUAUGUGAACGGCAUUUUUUAAUUAUGGAUUGGGUUAUAAAAAGUUAUGUUGGAGGAGCCACGAUAGAGUUAGUUAUCGAGGAGCUUUUGCGUGUCCUUUGUUUUCGAGUCGCGUUUGGUCGCUUUUAGGGCAAAUGCUGGACAAGCUGUCAUAUAUGGGUACCUAACUUGGAAAAAUUCUAUGAGCAGAAUUUUUUAAGCAUGGGGUAGCAAUAAGUUAUUUUGGACGAGCCAAGAAAGAGGUAGUUAUCGAGUAGUUUUUGCCUGUUCUUUGUUUUCGGGUCGCGUUUGGUCGGUUUUAAGACAAAUAUUGUACAAGACGUCAUAUAUGGGUACCUAACGUGGAAAAAUUAUGUAAACGACAUUUUCUAAGCAUGGAUUGGGUAGCAAUAAGUUAUUUUGGACGAGCCAAGAAAGAGGUAGUUAUCGUGGAGUUUUUGCAUGUCCUUUAUUUUUGAGUCGCGUUUGGUCGGUUUUAGGGCAAAUUCUGUACAAUAUGUAAUAUAUGGGUACCUAACUUGGAAAAAUUAUGUGAAUGGAAUUUUUUAAGCAUGGAUUGGGUUAUAAAAAGUUAUGUUGGACGAGCCACGAAAGAGUUAGUUAUCGAGGAUUUUUUGCGUGUCCUUUGUUUUUGAGUCGCAUUUGGUAGGUUUAAGGGCAAAUUAUGCACAAGAUGUCAUAUAUGGGUGCCUAACUUGGAAAAACUAUGUAAAGGGCAUUUUUAAGCAUGUAUUGGGUAGCAAAAAGUUAUUUUGGACGAGCCAUAAAAGAGGUAUUUAUCGAGGAGUUUUUGCGUGUCCUUUGUUUUCGAGUCGCAUUUGGUCCGUGUUUGGGCAAAUUCUGGACAAGCUGUCAUAUAUGGGUACCUCACUUGGAAAAAUUCUGUGACCAGCAUUUUUUAAGCAUGGAUUAGGUAGCAAUAAGUUAUUUUGGAUGAGCCAAGAAAGAGGUACUUAUCGAGUAGUUUUUCCGUGUCCUUUGUUUUGAGUCACGUUUGGUCGGUUUUAGGGCAAAUUCUGUACAAGACGUCAUAUAUGGGUACCUAACAUGGAAAAAUUCUGUGAACGAAAUUUUUUAAGCAUGGAUUAGGUAGCAAAAAUAUAUUUUGGACGAGCCACGAAAGAGGUAAUUAUCGAGGAGUUUCUGCGUGUCCUUUGUUUUUGAGUCGCGUUUGGUCGGUUUUAGGGUAAAUUCUGUACAAGAUGUCAUAUAUGGGUACCUAACUUGGAAAUAUUCUAUGAACGAUAUUUUUAAGCAUGGAUUGGGUAGCAAAAAGUUAUUUGGGCAAGCCAACAAAGAGGUAAUUAUCGAGGAGUUUCUGCGUGUCCUUUCUUUCCGAGUCGUGUUUGGUCGGUUUUAGGGCAAAUUCUGUAACAGAUGUCAUAUGUGGUACCUACCUUGGAAAUUUUCUGCGAACGGCAUUCUUUUAAGCAUGGACUUGGUAGCAAAAUUUAUUUUGGACGAGCCACAAAAGAGGUAGUUAUCAAUGAGUUUCUGCGUGUCCUUUGUUUUCGAGUCGCGCUUAGUCGGUUUCUGGGCAAAUUCUAUAACAGAUGCCAUAUAUGGUACCUAACUUCGAAAAUUUCUGUGAACGGUAUUUUUAAGCAUGGAUUGGGCAGCAAAAAGUUAUUUUGGACGUGCCACGAAAGAGGUAUUUAUCGAGGAGUUUUUGCGUGUCCUUUGUUUUCGAGUCUCGUUUGGUCGGUUUUAGUGUAAAUUUUGUACAAGAUGUCAUGUAUGGUUACCUAACUUGGAAAAUUUCUAUGAACGUAAUUUUUUAAGAAUGGAUUGGGUAGCUAAAAGUUAUUUUGGACGAGCCAAGAAAGAGGUGGUUAUAAAGGAGGUUUUGCGUGUCCUUUGUUUUCGAGUCGCGUUUGGUUGGUUCAAGGGCAAAUUCUGUACAAGAUGUCAUAUAUGGGUACCUAACUUGGAAAAAUUCUGUGAACGACAUUUUUUAAGCAUGGAUUGGGUAGCAAAAAGUUAUGUUGGACGAGCCACUAAAGAGUUAGUUAUCGAGGAGUUUUUGCGUGUCCUUUGUUUUUGAGUCGCGUUUGGUCGGUUUUAGGGCAACUUCCGUACAAGAUGUCAUAUAUGGGUACCUAACUUGGAAAAAUUCUAUGACCGGCUUUUUAAGCAUGGAUAGGGUAGCCAAUAGUUAUUUUGGACGAGCCACGAAAGAGGUAUUUAUCGAGGAGUUUUUGCGUGUCUUUUGUUGUCGAGUCGCGUUUGGUCGGUUUUAGGGUAAAUUCUGUACAAGAUGUCAUGUAUGGUUACCUAACUUGGAAACUUUCUAUGAACGGAAUUUUUUAAGAAUGGAUUGGGUAUCUAAAAGUUAUUUUGUACGAGCCAAGGAAGAGGUAGUUAUAGAGGAGGUUCUGCGUGUCCAUUGUUUUCGAGUCGCGUUUGGUUGGUUCAAGGGCAAAUUUUGUACAAGAUGUCAUAUAUGGGUACCUAACUUGGAAAAUUCUGUGAAUGACAUUUUUUAAGCAUUGAUUGGGUAGCCAAAAGUUAUGUUGGACGAGCCACUAAAGAGGUAGUUAUCGAGGAGUUUUUGCGUGUCCUUUGUUUUCGAGUCGCGUUUGGUCGAUUUUAGGGCAAAUUCUGUACAACAUGUGAUAUAUGGGUACCUAACUUUGGAAAAAUAAUAUGAAUGGCAUUUUUAUGCAUGGAUUGGGUAGCAAAAAGUUAUUUUGGAAGAGCCACGAAAGAGGUAGUUAUGGAGUCAAGUUUGCUCGGUUUUAGGGCAAAUUCUGUACAAGAUGUCAUAUAUGGGUACCUAACUUGGAAAAAUUCUAUGACCGGCUUUUUAAGCAUGGAUUGGGUAGCCAAAAGUUAUUUUGGACGAGCCAUGAAAGAGGUAGUUAUCAAGGAGUUUUUGCGUGUCCUUUGUUUCGAGUCGCGUUUGGUCGGUUUUAGGGCAAAUAUUGUACAACAUGUCAUAUAUGGGUACCUAACUUCCAAACAUUCGGUGAACGACAUUUUACAAGGAUGGAUUGGGUAGCAAAAAUUUAUGUUGAACAAGCCACGAUAGAGGUAGUUACUGACGAGUUUUUGCAUGUCCUUUGUUUUUGAGUCCUGUUUGGUCGGUUUUAGGGCAAAUUCUGUACAAGAUGUAAUAUAUGGGUACCUAACUUGGAACAAUUAUGUGAACGACAUUUUUAAGCACGGAUUGGGUUAUAAAAAGUUAUGUUGGACGAGCCACGAAAGAGUUAGUUAUCGAGGAGUUUUUGCGUGUCCUUUGUUUGGAUUGGGUAGCAAUAAGUUAUUUUGGGCAAGCCACCAAAGAGGUUAUUAUCGAGGAGUUUUUGCAUUUCGCGUUUGGUUGGUUUUAGGGAUAAUUCUGUAACAGAUGUCAUAUAUGGUACCUACCUUGGAAAUUUUCUGCGAACGGCAUUCUUUUAAGCAUGGACUUGGUAGCUAAAUCUAUUUUGGACGAGCCACAAGAGAGGUAGUUAUCGAGGAGUUUCUGCGUGUCCUUUGUUUUUGAGUCGCGUUUGGUCGGUUUUAGGGCAAAUUCUAUAACAGAUGCAAUAAAUGGUACCUAACUAGGAAAAUUUCUGUGAACGGCGUUUAAUAAGAAUGGAUUGGACAGCAAAAAGUUAUUUUGGACGAGCCACGAAAGAGGUAUUUAUCGAGGAGUUUUUGCGUGUCCUUUGUUUUCGAGUUGCGUUUGGUCGGUUUUAGGGUAAAUUAUGUACAAGAGGUCAUCUAUGGUUACCAACUUGGAAAAUUUCUAUGAACAGAGUUUUUUAUGAAUGGAUUGGGUAGCUAAAAGUUAUUUUGGACGAGCCAAGAAAGAGGUAGUUAUAGAGGAGGUUUUGCGUGUCCUUUGUUUUCGAGUCGCGUUUCGUAGGUUUAAGGGCAGAUUAUGCACAAGCUGUCAUAUAUGGGUACCUAACUUGGAAAAAUUAUGUGAACGGCAUUUUUUAAUUAUGGAUUGGGUUAUAAAAAGUUAUGUUGGAGGAGCCACGAUAGAGUUAGUUAUCGAGGAGCUUUUGCGUGUCCUUUGUUUUCGAGUCGCGUUUGGUCGCUUUUAGGGCAAAUGCUGGACAAGCUGUCAUAUAUGGGUACCUGACUUGGAAAAAUUCUAUGAGCAGAAUUUUUUAAGCAUUGGGUAGCAAUAAGUUAUUUUGGACGAGCCAAGAAAGAGGUAGUUAUCGAGUAGUUUUUGCCUGUCCUUUGUUUUCGGGUCGCGUUUGGUAGGUUUUAAGACAAAUAUUGUACAAGACGUCAUAUAUGGGUACCUAACGUGGAAAAAUUAUGUAAACGACAUUUUCUAAGCAUGGAUUGGGUAGCAAUAAGUUAUUUUGGACGAGCCAAGAAAGAGGUAGUUAUCGUGGAGUUUUUGCAUGUCCUUUAUUUUUGAGUCGCGUUUGGUCGGUUUUAGGGCAAAUUCUGUACAAUAUGUAAUAUAUGGGUACCUAACUUGGAAAAAUUAUGUGAAUGGAAUUUUUUAAGCAUGGAUUGGGUUAUAAAAUGUUAUAUUGGACGAGCCACGAAAGAGUUAGUUAUCGAGGAUUUUUUGCGUGUCCUUUGUUUUUGAGUCGCAUUUGGUAGGUUUAAGGGCAAAUUAUGCACAAGAUGUCAUAUAUGGGUGCCUAACUUGGAAAAACUAUGUAAAGGGCAUUUUUAAGCAUGUAUUGGGUAGCAAAAAGUUAUUUUGGACGAGCCAUAAAAGAGGUAUUUAUCGAGGAGUUUUUGCGUGUCCUUUGUUUUCAAGUCGCAUUUGGUCCGUGUUUGGGCAAAUUCUGGACAAGCUGUCAUAUAUGGGUACCUCACUUGGAAAAAUUCUGUGACCAGCAUUUUUUAAGCAUGGAUUAGGUAGCAAUAAGUUAUUUUGGAUGAGCCAAGAAAGAGGUAGUUAUCGAGUAGUUUUUCCGUGUCCUUUGUUUUGAGUCGCGUUUGGUCGGUUUUAGGGCAAAUUCUGUACAAGACGUCAUAUAUGGGUACCUAACAUGGAAAAAUUCCGUGAACGAAAUUUUUUAAGCAUGGAUUAGGUAGCAAAAAGUUAUUUUGGACGAGCCACGAAAGAGGUAAUUAUCGAGGAGUUUCUGCGUGUCCUUUGUUUUUGAGUCGCGUUUGGUCGGUUUUAGGGUAAAUUCUGUACAAGAUGUCAUAUAUGGGUACCUAACUUGGAAAUAUUCUAUGAACGANNNNNNNNNNUUUGUUUUCGAGUCUCGUUUGGUCGGUUUUAGGGUAAAUUUUGUACAAGAUGUCAUGUAUGGUUACCUAACUUGGAAAAUUUCUAUGAACGUAAUUUUUUAAGAAUGGAUUGGGUAGCUAAAAGUUAUUUUGGACGUGCCAAGAAAGAGGUAGUUAUAGAGGAGGUUUUGCGUGUCCUUUGUUUUCGAAUCGCGUUUGGUUGGUUCAAGGGCAAAUUCUGUACAAGAUGUCAUAUAUGGGUACCUAACUUGGAAAAAUUCUGUGAACGACAUUUUUUAAGCAUGGAUUGGGUAGCAAAAAGUUAUGUUGGACGAGCCACUAAAGAGUUAGUUAUCGAGGAGUUUUUGCGUGUCCUUUGUUUUCGAGUCACGUUUGAUCGGUUUUAGGGCAAAUUCUAUACAACAUGUCAUAUAUGGGUACUUAACUUUGGAAAAAUUCUGUGAAUGGAAUUUUUUAAGCAUGGAUUGGGUAGAAAAAAUUUAUUUUGGAAGAGCCACAAAAGAGGUAGUUAUCGAGGAGUUUUUGCAUGUCAAUUGUUUUUGAGUCGCGUUUGGUCGGUUUUAGGGCAAAUUCCGUACAAGAUGUCAUAUAUGGGUACCUAACUUGGAAAAAUUCUAUGACCGUCUUUUUAAGCAUGGAUAGGGUAGCCAAAAGUUAUUUUGGACGAGCCACGAAAGAGGUAUUUAUCGAGGAGUUUUUGCGUGUCUUUUGUUGUCGAGUCGCGUUUGGUCGGUUUUAGGGUAAAUUCUGUACAAGAUGUCAUGUAUGGUUACCUAACUUGGAAACUUUCUAUGAACGGAAUUUUUUAAGAAUGGAUUGGGUAUCUAAAAGUUAUUUUGUACGAGCCAAGGAAGAGGUAGUUAUAGAGGAGGUUCUGCGUGUCCAUUGUUUUCGAGUCGCGUUUGGUUGGUUCAAGGGCAAAUUUUGUACAAGAUGUCAUAUAUGGGUACCUAACUUGGAAAAAUUCUGUGAAUGACAUUUUUUAAGCAUUGAUUGGGUAGCCAAAACUUAUGUUGGACGAGCCACUAAAGAGGUAGUUAUCGAGGAGUUUUUGCGUGUCCUUUGUUUUUGAGUCGCGUUUGGUCGAUUUUAGGGCAAAUUCUGUACAAGAUGUCAUAUAUGGGUACCUAACUUGGAAAAAUUCUAUGACCGGCUUUUUAUGCAUGGAUUGGGUAGCCAAAAGUUAUUUUGGACGAGCCAAGAAAGAGGUAGUUAUCGAGUAGUUUUUGCCUGUCCUUUGUUUUCGGGUCGCGUUUGGUAGGUUUUAAGACAAAUAUUGUACAAGACGUCAUAUAUGGGUACCUAACGUGGAAAAAUUAUGUAAACGACAUUUUCUAAGCAUGGAUUGGGUAGCAAUAAGUUAUUUUGGACGAGCCAAGAAAGAGGUAGUUAUCGUGGAGUUUUUGCAUGUCCUUUAUUUUUGAGUCGCGUUUGGUCGGUUUUAGGGCAAAUUCUGUACAAUAUGUAAUAUAUGGGUACCUAACUUGGAAAAAUUAUGUGAAUGGAAUUUUUUAAGCAUGGAUUGGGUUAUAAAAUGUUAUAUUGGACGAGCCACGAAAGAGUUAGUUAUCGAGGAUUUUUUGCGUGUCCUUUGUUUUUGAGUCGCAUUUGGUAGGUUUAAGGGCAAAUUAUGCACAAGAUGUCAUAUAUGGGUGCCUAACUUGGAAAAACUAUGUAAAGGGCAUUUUUAAGCAUGUAUUGGGUAGCAAAAAGUUAUUUUGGACGAGCCAUAAAAGAGGUAUUUAUCGAGGAGUUUUUGCGUGUCCUUUGUUUUCAAGUCGCAUUUGGUCCGUGUUUGGGCAAAUUCUGGACAAGCUGUCAUAUAUGGGUACCUCACUUGGAAAAAUUCUGUGACCAGCAUUUUUUAAGCAUGGAUUAGGUAGCAAUAAGUUAUUUUGGAUGAGCCAAGAAAGAGGUAGUUAUCGAGUAGUUUUUCCGUGUCCUUUGUUUUGAGUCGCGUUUGGUCGGUUUUAGGGCAAAUUCUGUACAAGACGUCAUAUAUGGGUACCUAACAUGGAAAAAUUCCGUGAACGAAAUUUUUUAAGCAUGGAUUAGGUAGCAAAAAGUUAUUUUGGACGAGCCACGAAAGAGGUAAUUAUCGAGGAGUUUCUGCGUGUCCUUUGUUUUUGAGUCGCGUUUGGUCGGUUUUAGGGUAAAUUCUGUACAAGAUGUCAUAUAUGGGUACCUAACUUGGAAAUAUUCUAUGAACGACAUUUUUAAGCAUGGAUUGGGUAGCAAAAAGUUAUUUUGGGCAAGCCAACAAAGAGGUAAUUAUCGAGGAGUUUCUGCGUGUCCUUUCUUUCCGAGUCGUGUUUGGUCGGUUUUAGGGCAAAUUCUGUAACAGAUGUCAUAUGUGGUACCUACCUUGGAAAUUUUCUGCGAACGGCAUUCUUUUAAGCAUGUACUUGGUAGCAAAAUUUAUUUUGGACGAGCCACAAAAGAGGUAGUUAUCAAGGAGUUUCUGCGUGUCCUUUUUUUCGAGUCGCGCUUGGUCGGUUUCUCGGAAAUUCUAUAACAGAUGCCAUAUAUGGUACCUAACUUGGAAAAUUUCUGUGAACGGUAUUUUUAAGCAUGGAUUGGGCAGCAAAAAGUUAUUUUGGACGUCCCACGAAAGAGGUAUUUAUCGAGGAGUUUUUGCGUGUCCUUUGUUUUCGAGUCUCGUUUGGUCGGUUUUAGGGUAAAUUUUGUACAAGAUGUCAUGUAUGGUUACCUAACUUGGAAAAUUUCUAUGAACGUAAUUUUUUAAGAAUGGAUUGGGUAGCUAAAAGUUAUUUUGGACAUGCCAAGAAAGAGGUAGUUAUAGAGGAGGUUUUGCGUGUCCUUUGUUUUCGAAUCGCGUUUGGUUGGUUCAAGGGCAAAUUCUGUACAAGAUGUCAUAUAUGGGUACCUAACUUGGAAAAAUUCUGUGAACGACAUUUUUUAAGCAUGGAUUGGGUAGCAAAAAGUUAUGUUGGACGAGCCACUAAAGAGUUAGUUAUCGAGGAGUUUUUGCGUGUCCUUUGUUUUCGAGUCACGUUUGAUCGGUUUUAGGGCAAAUUCUAUACAACAUGUCAUAUAUGGGUACUUAACUUUGGAAAAAUUCUGUGAAUGGCAUUUUUUAAGCAUGGAUUGGGUAGAAAAAAUUUAUUUUGGAAGAGCCACAAAAGAGGUAGUUAUCGAGGAGUUUUUGCAUGUCAAUUGUUUUUGAGUCGCGUUUGGUCGGUUUUAGGGCAAAUUCCGUACAAGAUGUCAUAUAUGGGUACCUAACUUGGAAAAAUUCUAUGACCGUCUUUUUAAGCAUGGAUAGGGUAGCCAAAAGUUAUUUUGGACGAGCCACGAAAGAGGUAUUUAUCAAGGAGUUUUUGCGUGUCUUUUGUUGUCGAGUCGCGUUUGGUCGGUUUUAGGGUAAAUUCUGUACAAGAUGUCAUGUAUGGUUACCUAACUUGGAAACUUUCUAUGAACGGAAUUUUUUAAGAAUGGAUUGGGUAUCUAAAAGUUAUUUUGUACGAGCCAAGGAAGAGGUAGUUAUAGAGGAGGUUCUGCGUGUCCAUUGUUUUCGAGUCGCGUUUGGUUGGUUCAAGGGCAAAUUUUGUACAAGAUGUCAUAUAUGGGUACCUAACUUGGAAAAAUUCUGUGAAUGACAUUUUUUAAGCAUUGAUUGGGUAGCCAAAACUUAUGUUGGACGAGCCACUAAAGAGGUAGUUAUCGAGGAGUUUUUGCGUGUCCUUUGUUUUCGAGUCGCGUUUGGUCGAUUUUAGGGCAAAUUCUGUACAAGAUGUCAUAUAUGGGUACCUAACUUGGAAAAAUUCUAUGACCGGCUUUUUAUGCAUGGAUUGGGUAGCCAAAAGUUAUUUUGGACGAGCCAUGAAAGAGGUAGUUAUCAAGGAGUUUUUGCGUGUCCUUUGUUUCGAGUCGCGUUUGGUCGGUUUUAGGGCAAAUAUUGUACAACAUGUCAUAUAUGGGUACCUAACUUGCAAACAUUCGGUGAACGACAUUUUAUAAGGAUGGAUUGGGUAGCAAAAAUUUAUGUGGAACAAGCCACGAUAGAGGUAGUUACUGAAGAGUUUUUGCAUGUCCUUUGUUUUUGAGUCGUGUUUGGUUGGUUUUAGGGCAAAUUCUGUACAAGAUGUAAUAUAUGGGUACCUAACUUGGAACAAUUAUGUGAACGACAUUUUUAAGCACGGAUUGGGUUAUAAAACGUUAUGUUGGACGAGCCACGAAAGAGUUAGUUAUCGAGGAGUUUUUGCGUGUCCUUUGUUUGGAUUGGGUAGCAAUAAGUUAUUUUGGGCAAGCCACCAAAGAGGUAAUUAUUGAGGAGUUUCUGAAUGUCGCGUGGUUGGUUUUAGGGAUAAUUCCGUAACAGAUGUCAUAUAUGGUACCUACCUUGGACAUUUUCUGCGAACGGCAUUCUUUUAAGCAUGGACAUGGUAGCUAAAUCUAUUUUGGACGAGCCCCAAAAGAGGUAGUUAUCGAGGAGUUUCUGCGUGUCCUUUGUUUUUGAGUCGCGUUUGGUCGGUUUUAGGGCAAAUUCUAUAACAGAUGCCAUAUAUGGUACCUAACUAGGAAAAUUUCUGUGAACGGCGUUUUUUAAGAAUGGAUUGGACAGCAAAAAGUUAUUUUGGACGAGCCACGAAAGAGGUAUUUAUCGAGGAGUUUUUGCGUGUCCUUUGUUUUCGAGUUGCAUUUGGUCGGUUUUAGGGUAAAUUAUGUACAAGAGGUCAUCUAUGGUUACCUACUUGGAAAAUUUCUAUGAACAGAGUUUUUUAUGAAUGGAUUGGGUAGCUAAAAGUUAUUUUGGACGAGCCAAGAAAGAGGUAGUUAUAGAGGAGGUUCUGCGUGUCCUUUGUUUUCGAGUCGCGUUUGGUUUGUUCAAGGGCAAAUUCUGUACUUGAUGUCAUAUAUGGGUACCUAACUUAGAAAAAUUCUGUGAACGACAUUUUUAAGCAUGGACUGGGUAGCAAAAAGUUAUGUUGGACGAGCCACUAAAGAGGUAGUUAUCGAGGAGUUUUUGCGUGUCCUUUGUUUUUGAGUCGCGUUUGGUCGGUUUUAGGGCAUAUUCUGUACAACAUGUCAUAUAUGGGUACCUAACUUUGGAAAAAUUCUGUGAAUGGCAUCUUUUAAGCAUGGAUUGGGUAGCAAAAAGUUAUUUUGGAAGAGCCACGAAAGAGGUAGUUAUCGAGGAGUUUUUGCAUGUCAUUUGCUUUCGAGUCGCGUUUGGUCGGUUUUAGGGAAAAUUCUGUACAACAUGUCAUAUAUGGGUUGGGUUAUAAAAAGUUAUGUUGGACGAGCCACGAAAGAGUUAGUUAUCGCGGAGUGUUUGCGUGUCCUUUGUUUUUGAGUCGCAUUUGGUAGGUUUAAGGGCAAAUUAUGCACAAGAUGUCAUAUAUGGGUACCUAACUUGGAAAAAUUAUGUAAACGGCAUUUUUAAGCAUGGAUUGGGUAGCAAAAAGUUAUUUUGGACGAGCCAUAAAAGAGAUAUUUAUCCAGGAGUUUUUGCGUGUCCUUUGUUUUCGAGUCACAUUUGGUUGGUUUUAGGGCAAAUUCUGGACAAGCUGUCAUAUAUGGGUACCUAACUUGGAAAAAUUAUGUGACCAGCAUUUUUUAAGCAUGGAUUAGGUAGCAAUAAGUUAUUUUGGAUGAGCCAAGAAAGAGGUAGUUAUCGAGUAUUUUUUCCGUGUCCUUUGUUUUUGAGUCGCGUUUGGUCGGUUUUAGGGCAAAUUCUGUACAAGACGUCAUAUAUGGAUACCUAACAUGGAAAAAUUCUGUGAACGAAAUUUUUUAAGCAUUGAUUGGGUAGCAAAAAGUUAUUUUGGACAAGCCACGAAAGAGGUAGUUAUGGAGGAAUUUUUGCGUGUCCUUUGUUUUUGAGUCGCGUUUCGUCGGUUUUAGGGUAAAUUCUGUACAAGAUGUCAUAUAUGGGUACCAAACUUGGAAAUAUUCUGUGGACGACAUUUUUAAGCAUGGAUUGGGUAGCAAAAAGUUAUUUUGGGCAAGCCGCCAAAGAGGUAAUUAUCGAGGAGUUUCUGCGUGUCCUUUCCUUCAGAGUCGUGUUUGGUCGGUUUUAGGGCCAAUUCUAUAACAGAUGUCAUAAUGGUACCUACCUUGGAAAUUUUCUGUGAACGGCAUUUUUUAAGCAUGGAUUUGGUAGCAAAAUUUAUUUUGGACGAGCCACAAAAGAGGUAGUUAUCGAGGACUUUCUACGUGUCCUUUGUUUUCGAGUCGCGUUUGGUCGGUUUUAGGGCAAAUUCUAUAACAGAUGCCAUAUAUGGUAGCUAACUUGGAAAAUUUCUGUGAACGACAUUUUUUAAGCAUGGAUUGGGCAGCAAAAAGUUAUUUUGGACGUGCCACGAAAGAGGUAUUUAUCGAGGAGUUUUUGCGUGUCCUUUGUUUUCGAGUCGCGUUUGGUCGGUUUUAGGGUAAAUUCUAUACAAGAUGUCAUGUAUGGUUACCUUACUUGGAAAAUUUCUAUGAACGGAAUUUUUUAAGAAUGGAUUGGGUAGCUAAAGUUAUUUUGGACGAGCCAAGAAAGAGGUAGUUAUAGAGGAGGUUUUGCGUGUCCUUUGUUUUCGAGUCGCGUUUGGUUGGUUCAAGGGCAAAUUCUGUACAAGAUGUCAUAUAUGGGUACCUAACUUGGAAAAAUUCCGUGAACGACAUUUGUUAAGCAUGGAUUGGGUAGCAAAAAGUAAUGUUGGACGAGCCACUAAAGAGGUAGUUAUCGAGGAGUUUUUGCGUGUCCUUUGUUUUCGAUUGGCGUUUGGUCGGUUUUAGCGCAAAUUCUGUACAACAUGUCAUAUAUGUGUACCUAACUUUGGAAUAAUUCUGUGAAUGGCAUUUUUUAAGCAUGGAUUGGGUAGAAAAAAGUUAUAUUGGAAGAGCCACGAAAGAGGUAGUUAUCGAGGAGUUUUUGCAUGUCAUUUGUUUUUGAGUCACAUUUGGUCGAUUUUAGGGAAAAUUCUGUACAAGAUGUCAUAUAUGGGUACCAAACUUGGAAAAAUUAUAUGACCGGCUUUUUAAGCAUGGAUUGGGUAGCCAAAAGUUAUUUUGGACGAGCCACAAAAGAGGUAUUUAUCGAGGAGUUUUUGCGUGUCAUUUGUUGUCGAGUCGCGUUUGGUCGGUUUUAGGGUAAAUUCUGUACAAGAUGUCAUGUAUUGUUACCUAACUUGGAAAAUUUCUAUGAGCGGAAUUUUUUAAGAAUGGAUUGGGUAGCUAAAAGUUAUUUUGGAUGAGCCAAGGAAGAGGUAGUUAUAGAGGAGGUUUUGCGUGUCCUUUGUUUUCGAGUCGCGUUUCGUUGGUUCAAGGGCAAAUUUGGGACAAGAUGUCAUAUAUGGGUACCUACUUGGAAAAAUUCUGUCAAUGACAUUUUUUAAGCAUAGAUUGGGUAGCAGAAAGUUAUGUUGGAUGAGCCACUAAAGAGGUAGUUAUCGAGGAGUUUUUGCGUGUCCUUUGUUUUCGAGUCGCAUUUGGUCGGUUUUAGGGCAAAUUCUGCACAGCAUGUCAUAUAUGGGUACCUAACUUUGGGAAAAUUCUAUGAAUGGCAUUUUUAAGCAUGGAUUGGGUAGCAAAAAGUUAUUUUGGAAGGCCACCAAAGAGGUAGUUAUCGAGUCACGUUUGGUCGGUUUUAGGGCAAAUUCUGUACAAGAUGUCAUAUAUGGGUACCUAACUUGGAAAAAUUCUAUGACCGGCUUUUUAAGCAUGGAUUGGGUAGCCAAAAUUUAUUUUGGACGAGCCAUGAAAGAGGUAGUUAUCAAGGAGUUUUUGCGUAUCCUUUGUUUCGAGUCGCGUUUGGUCGGUUUUAGGACAAAUUUUGUACAACAUGUCAGAUAUGGGUACCUAACUUGGAAACAUUCGGUGAACAACAUUUUAUAAGUAUGGAUUGGGUAGCAAAAAUUUAUGUUGGACGAGCCAAGAUAGAGGUAGUUACCGAGGAGUUUUUGCAUGUCCUUUGUUUUUGAGUCGCGUUUGGUCGGUUUUAGGGCAAAUUCUGUACAACAUGUAAUAUAUGGGUACCUAACUUGGAAAAAUUAUGUGAACAACAUUUUUAAACAUGGAUUGGGUUUUAAAAAUUUAUGUUGGACGAGCCACGAAAGACUUAGUUAUCGACGAGUUUUUUUGUGUCCUUUGUUUUCGAGUCCCGUUUGGUAGGUAUAAGGGCAAAUUAUGCACAAGUUUUCAUAUAUGGGUACCUAACAUGGAAAAAUUAUGUAAACAACAUUUUUUAAGCAUGGAUUGGGUAGCAAAAAGUUAUUUUGGACAAGCCAUGAAAGUGGUAUUUAUCGAAGAGUUUUUGCGUGUCCUUUGUUUCGAGUCGUGUUUGGUCGGUUUUAGGGAAAAUUCUGGACAAGCUAUCACAUAUGGGUACCUAACUUGGAAAAAUUCUUUGAGCAGCAUUUUUUAAGCAUGGAUUGGGUAGCACUAAGUUAUUUUGGAUGAGCCAAGAAAUAGGUAGUUAUCGAGUAGUUUUUGCAUGUCAUUUGUUUUCGAGUCACGUUUGGUCGGUUUUAGGGCAAAUUCUAUACAUGACGUCAUAUAUGGGUACCUAACGUGGAAAAAUUAUGUAAAUGACAUUUUUUAAGCAUGGAUUGGGUAGGAAAAAGUUUUUUUUGGACGAGACAUGAAAGAGGUAGUUAUCGAGGAGUUUUUGCGUGUCCUUUGUUUUUUGAGUCGCGUUUGGUUGGUUUUAGGGCAAAUUCCGUACAAGAUGUAAUAUAUGGGUACCUAACUUGGAAAAAUUAUGUGAACAGCAUUUUUAAUUCUGGAUUGGCUUAUAAAAAGUUAUCUUCGAGGAGCCACGAUAGAGUUAGUUAUCGAGGAGUUUUUGCGUGUCCUUUGUUUUCGAGUCGCGUUUGGUCGGUUUUAGGACAAAUUCUGUACAACAUGUCAUAUAUGGGUACCUAACUUUGGAAAAAUUCUGUNNNNNNNNNNNNNNNNNNNNNNNNNNNNNNNNNNNNNNNNNNNNNNNNNNNNNNNNNNNNNNNNNNNNNNNNNNNNNNNNNNNNNNNNNNNNNNNNNNNNNNNNNNNNNNNNNNNNNNNNNNNNNNNNNNNNNNNNNNNNNNNNNNNNNNNNNNNNNNNNNNNNNNNNNNNNNNNNNNNNNNNNNNNNNNNNNNNNNNNNNNNNNNNNNNNNNNNNNNNNNNNNNNNNNNNNNNNNNNNNNNNNNNNNNNNNNNNNNNNNNNNNNNNNNNNNNNNNNNNNNNNNNNNNNNNNNNNNNNNNNNNNNNNNNNNNNNNNNNNNNNNNNNNNNNNNNNNNNNNNNNNNNNNNNNNNNNNNAUGACAUUUUUCAAGCAUGGAUUGGGUAGCAAAAAGUUAUGUUGGACGAGCCACUAAAGAGGUAGUUAUCGAGGAGUUUUUGCGUGUCCUUUGUUUUCGAGUCGCGUUUGGUCGGUUUUAGGGCAAAUUCUGUACAACAUGUCAUAUAUGGCUACCUCACUUUGGAAAAAUUCUGUGACUGGCAUUUUUUAAGCAUGGAUUGGGUAGCAAAAAGUUAUUUUGGAAGAGCCAUGAAAGAGGUAGUUAUCGAGUCACGUUUGGUCGAUUUUAGGGCAAAUUCUAUACAAGAUGUCAUAUAUGGGUACCUAACUUGGAAAAAUUCUAUGACCGGGUUUUUAAGCAUGGAUUGGGUAGCCAAAAGUUAUUUUGGACGAGCCAUGAAAGAGAUAGUUAUGGAGGAGUUUUUGCGUGUCCUUUGUUUCGAGUCGCGUUUGGUCGGUUUUAGGGCAAAUUUUGUACAACAUGUCAUAUAUGGGUACCUAACUUGGAAACAUUCGGUGAACGACAUUUUAUAAGGAUGGAUUGGGUAGCAAAAAUUUAUGUUGGACGAGCCACGAAAGAGGUAGUUACCAAGGAGUUUUUGCAUGUUCUUUGUUUUUGAGUCGCGUUUGGUCGGUUUUAGGGCAAAUUUUGUACAAGAUGUAAUAUAUGGGUACCUAACUUGGAAAAAUUAUGUGAAUGGCAUUUUUAAGCAUGGAUUGGGUUAUUAAAAGUUAUGUUGGACGAGCCACGAAAGAGUUAGUUAUCGAGGAGUUUUCCCUGUCCUUUGUUUUCAAGUCGCGUUUGGUAGGUUUAAGGCCAAAUUAUGCACAAGUUUUUAUAUAUGGGUACCUAACUUGGAAAAAUUAUGUAAACAGCAUUUUUUAAGCAUGGAUUGGGUAGCAAAAAGUUAUUUUGGACAAGCCAUGAAAGUGGUAUUUAUCGAACAGUUUUUGCGUGUCCUUUGUUUUCGAGUCGUGUUUGGUCGGUUUUAGGGCAAAUUCUGGACAAGCUAUCACAUAUGGGUACCUAACUUGGAAAAAUUCUGUGAGCAGCAUUUUUUAAGCAUGGAUUGGGUAGCACUAAGUUAUUUGGGAUGAGCCAAGAAAAAGGUAGUUAUCGAGUAGUUUUUGCAUGUCAUUUGUUUUCGAGUCGCGUUUGGUCGGUUUUAGGGCAAAUUCUAUACAAGACGUCAUAUAUGGGUACCUAACGUGGAAAAAUUAUGUAAACGAUAUUUUUUAAGCAUGGAUUGGGUAGCAAAAAGUUUUUUUGGACGAGCCAUGAAAGAGAUAGUUAUGAAGGAGUUUUUGCAUGUCCUUUGUUUCGAGUCGCGUUUGGUCGGUUUUAGGGCAAAUUUUGUACAACAUGUCAUAUAUGGGUACCUAACUUGGAAACAUUCGGUGAACGACAUUUUAUAAGGAUGGAUUGGGUAGCAAAAAUUUAUGUUGGACGAGCCACGAAAGAGGUCGUUACCAAGGAGUUUUUGCAUGUUCUUUGUUUUUGAGUCGCGUUUGGUCGGUUUUAGGGCAAAUUCUGUACAAGAUGUAAUAUAUGGGUACCUAAUUUUGGAAAAAUUCUAUGAAUGGCAUUUUUAAGCAUGGAUUGGGUAGCCAAAAGUUAUUUUGGAAGAGCCACGAAAGAGGUAGUUAUCGAGUCACGUUUGGUCGGUUUUAGGGCAAAUUCUGUACAAGAUGUCAUAUAUGGGUACCUAAGUUGGAAAAAUUCUAUGACCAGCUUUUUAAGCAUGGAUUGGGUAGCCAAAAUUUAUUUUGGACGAGCCAUGAAAGAGGUAGUUAUCAAGGAGUUUUUGCGUAUCCUUUGUUUCGAGUCGCGUUUGGUCGGUUUUAGGGCAAAUUUUGUACAACAUGUCAGAUAUGGGUACCUAACUUGGAAACAUUCGGUGAACAACAUUUUAUAAGUAUGGAUUGGGUAACAAAAAUUUAUGUUGGACGAGCCACGAUAGAGGUAGUUACCGAGGAGUUUUUGCAUGUCCUUUGUUUUUGAGUCGCGUUUGGUCGGUUUUAGGGCAAAUUCUGUACAACAUGGAAUAUAUGGGUACUUACUUGGAAAAAUUAUGUGAACAACAUUUUUAAACAUGGAUUGGGUUAUGAAAAUUUAUGUUGGACGAGCCACGAAAGACUUAGUUAUCGAGGAGUUUUUGUGUGUCCUUUGUUUUCGAGUCCCGUUUGGUAGGUAUAAGGGAAAAUUAUGCACAAGUUUUCAUAUGUGGGUACCUAACAUGGAAAAAUUAUGUAAACAACAUUUUUUAAGCAUGGAUUGGGUAGCAAAAAGUUAUUUUGGACAAGCCAUGAAAGUGGUAUUUAUCGAAGAGUUUUUGCGUGUCCUUUGUGUCGAGUCGUGUUUGGUCGGUUUUAGGGAAAAUUCUGGACAAGCUAUCACAUAUGGGUACCUAACUUGGAAAAAUUCUGUGAGCAGCAUUUUUUAAGCAUGGAUUGGGUAACACUAAGUUAUUUUGGAUGAGCCAAGAAAUAGGUAGUUAUCGAGUAGUUUUUGCAUGUCAUUUGUUUUCGAGUCACGUUUGGUCGGUUUUAGGGCAAAUUCUAUACAAGACGUUAUAUAUGGGUACCUAACGUGGAAAAAUUAUGUAAACGACAUUUUUAAGCAUGGAUUGGGUAGGAAAAAGUUUUUUUGGACGAGACAUGAAAGAGGUAUUUAUCGAGGAGUUUUUGCGUGUCCUUUGUUUUCGAGUCACGUUUGGUCGGUUUUAGGGCAAAUUCUAAACAAGCUGUCAUAUAUGGGUACCUAACUUGGAAAUAUUCUGUGAGUAGCAUUUUCAAGCAUGGAUUGGGUAGCAAUAAGUUAUUUUGGACGAGCCAAGAAAGAGGUAGUUAUCAAGGAGUUUUUGCGUGUCCUUUGUUUUUUGAGUCGCGUUUGGUUGGUUUUAGGGAAAAUUCCGUACAAGAUGUAAUAUAUGGGUACCUAACUUGGAAAAAUUAUGUGAACAGCAUUUUUAAUUCUGGAUUGGCUUAUAAAAAGUUAUGUUGGACGAGCCACUAAAGAGGUAGUUAUCGAGGAGUUUUUGCGUGUCCUUUGUUUUCGAGUCGCGUUUGGUCGGUUUUAGGGCAAAUUCUGUACAACAUGUCAUAUAUGGCUACCUAACUUUGGAAAAAUUCUGUGACUGGCAUUUUUUAAGCAUGGAUUGGGUAGCAAAAAGUUAUUUUGGAAGAGCCACGAAAGAGGUAGUUAUCGAGUCACGUUUGGUCGAUUUUAGGGCAAAUUCUGUACAAGAUGUCAUAUAUGGGUACCUAACUUGGAAAAAUUCUAUGACCGGGUUUUUAAGCAUGGAUUGGGUAGCCAAAAGUUAUUUUGGACGAGCCAUGAAAGAGAUAGUUUUGAAGGAGUUUUUGCGUGUCCUUUGUUUUGAGUCGCGUUUGGUCGGUUUUAGGGCAAAUUUUGUACAACAUGUCAUAUAUGGGUACCUAACUUGGAAACAUUCGGUGAACGACAUUUUAUAAGGAUGGAUUGGGUAGCAAUAAUUUAUGUUGGACGAGCCACGAAAGAGGUAGUUACCAAGGAGUUUUUGCAUGUUCUUUGUUUUUGAGUCGCGUUUGGUCGGUUUUAGGGCAAAUUCUGUACAAGAUGUAAUAUAUGGGUACCUAACUUGGAAAAAUUAUGUGAACGGCAUUUUUAAGCAUGGAGUGGGUUAUAAAAAGUUAUGUUGGACGAGCCACGAAAGAGUUAGUUAUCGAGGAGUUUUCCGUGUCCUUUGUUUUCAAGUCGCGUUUGGUAGGUUUAAGGGCAAAUUAUGCACAAGUUUUCAUAUAUGGGUACCUAACUUGGAAAAAUUAUGUAAACAGCAUUUUUUAAGCAUGGAUUGGGUAGCAAAAAGUUAUUUUGGACAAGCCAUGAAAGUGGUAUUUAUCGAACAGUUUUUGCGUGUCCUUUGUUUUCGAGUCGUGUUUGGUCGGUUUUAGGGCAAAUUCUGGACAAGCUAUCACAUAUGGGUACCUAACUUGGAAAAAUUCUGUGAGCAGCAUUUUUUAAGCUUGGAUUGGGUAGCAAUAAGUUAUUUUGGAUGAGCCAUGAAAGAGGUAUUUAUCGAGGAGUUUUUGCGUGUCCUUUGUUUUCGAGUCGUGUUUCGUCGGUUUUAGGGCAAAUUCUAGACAAGCUGUCAUAUAUGGGUACCUAACUUGGAAAAAUUCUGUGAGUAGCAUUUUCAAGCAUGGAUUGGGUAGCAAUAAGUUAUUUUGGACGAGCCAAGAAAGAGGUAGUUAUCGAGGAGUUUUUGCGUGUCCUUUGUUUUUUGAGUCGCAUUUGGUUGUUUUUAGGGCAAAUUCCGUACAAGAUGUAAUAUAUGGGUACCAAACUUGGAAAAAUUAUGUGAACGGCAUUUUUAAUUAUGGAUUGGGUAAUAAAAAGUUAUGUUGGAGGAGCCACGAUAGAGUUAGUUAUCGAGGAGUUUUUGCGUGUCCUUUGUUUUCGAGUCGCGUUUGGUCGGUUUUAGGGCAAAUUCUGUACAACAUGUCAUAUAUGGGUGUAACACCCCAGAUGUAACUUUCCAUAUUUGCAACUUCAACUCUUGCCAUUUUUGGCUAUGUGUUAUGACAUUCCCUUCAUGGUCGGGUUUUGUUUUCCGUUUUGCAUUUUUCUUUUGUCAUGCAUCUCAUAUCAUGUCAUCAUGUGCAUUGCAUUUGCAUACGUGUUCGUCUAUUGCAUCCGAGCAUUUUCCCAGUUGUCUGUUUUGCAAUCCGGCACUCCCACCUCCUCCGGCGCACCCUCUUGUUUUCUUUUCGUGAGCGGGUGUUGAACAUUCUCGAAAUGGACCGAGGCUUGCCAAGCGGCCUUGGUAUACCACCGGUAGACCACCUGUCAAGUUUCGUUCCAUUUGGAGGUCGUUUGGUACUCCAACGGUUAACCGGGCAACCGCAAAGUCCUUUUGUGUGUUGCAGCAAAAUCCCCCUCCUAAUAGCCCAAAACCCAUCUAAGUCACUUCCAUGCUCUAGGUCGUUCGAUCACGAUCGUGUGGGCGAAAAUCGUGCUCAAUUUGGAGUCUCCUAGCUCCCUUUACCUAUAAAAACACCUCCCCCUCCGAAAUCUGGGCGAAACCCUAGCAAAAAUCGUCCUCCGCGCCGCCGGACGCGUCCACUCCCGCCGGACGAANNNNNNNNNNNNNNNNNNNNNNNNNNNNNNNNNNNNNNNNNNNNNNNNNNNNNNNNNNNNNNNNNNNNNNNNNNNNNNNNNNNNNNNNNNNNNNNNNNNNNNNNNNNNNNNNNNNNNNNNNNNNNNNNNNNNNNNNNNNNNNNNNNNNNNNNNNNNNNNNNNNNNNNNNNNNNNNNNNNNNNNNNNNNNNNNNNNNNNNNNNNNNNNNNNNNNNNNNNNNNNNNNNNNNNNNNNNNNNNNNNNNNNNNNNNNNNNNNNNNNNNNNNNNNNNNNNNNNNNNNNNNNNNNNNNNNNNNNNNNNNNNNNNNNNNNNNNNNNNNNNNNNNNNNNNNNNNNNNNNNNNNNNNNNNNNNNNNNNNNNNNNNNNNNNNNNNNNNNNNNNNNNNNNNNNNNNNNNNNNNNNNNNNNNNNNNNNNCCGCGCUCUCCGCCGCCCGGGCGCCUCGCCCGACCGCGCCCGACCCCGGCGCCUCCUCCUGCUCUCUUCCCCGACCGCCGCGCCUCUCCUUCCUCCGGCCUCGUCCUCUCCCGACUCCGGCGAGCUCGAGCUCAAACCCUAGCUCCGGGGAGCUCCCGAUCCGAUCUGUCCAGAGGUUGACUUUCCCUCCCCCCGUUUUUUCUCCAAGUCCCGAGCAUUUUUACAUUCUAUUGCAUACUUUGACACAUCAUAACUCUCUGAAUAUAGCUCUGUUUCAUGCGUGUAAUAUAUCAAAAUGUUCAUCUCGAGAUGCUCUUCAUUUUGUUCCAUUGCACCAUGUUCAUUUGUGUCCAUCUUGAGGCCCAAAUCUCUGGUGCAAGAGUGCUAGUUGCUGUUAACUGCUGUUACUUAUCAGAACUUGAGGAUUUGUUAUUUUUGUUGCUAUUGAUGUGUGCAUCUUAUGAGUAGGAUCUCAACAGGUGUAUUGAUGUAUGCCAUUCCAUCUUUACAGAGGUGUAUGCCAUGUAUUUUGGUGAUCUCUGUGGUGACUAGCACAAGCAUGCAAACUAGGCUUCGUAAUGUUUCUGAUUUCAGGGACUUCGUAAUUUUACCAAGUCUGUGACUGCUGUUAUUGUGUUGCUAUGUAUCCAUGUGGCUACAGAGCGAUCCAUGCUUAUUUUGGAGAUGUUUAGUAAGAAUCUUUUGUAGAUAUAGUUGUGCGCUAUCCAUCCAUGCCUCUUUUUGCAAUUAUCGAGUGACAUAGCUUGACUCAAUUUUGCUCUACUUUUGCUAUAAAAUAUUUCUGGCAGAUUGUUUACGUGUUAUUCAAUUUUGCCAAGCCUGUUGUAGUUGAUCCAUGCAUGCUAUGAACUUGCUCUUGCCAUGGAUAGAUUUACAAACAUGCCAUCUUGCUGGAGGUAUGCUUGUUUUGUCAUGCAUUGCUUUGUGGUGAGUUCAUCAAGCUCACAAAGAUGCCUUCAUAUUACUGUUUCUGUCAUAUUACUGUCAUCAAGCUCAGUCUGUAACCUGUUAACGAAACUUUCUAUGUUUACAUGGUUGCCAUCAUAUCUUCUGGUCCUUUUUGGCUUAUGGUCACUAAGGGACUUUUGUUAUAUGCAUUUAGUAGAAUACUGACAUGCCUUGUUUUGCCAUGUUAAGUUCCUGUAGCAUGUUGAUUGCUUGCUCUGAACAUCGCUACCUGAUGCUGUUUAUGCCAUGUCCAGUAAUUUCACCAAGUCUGUGAACAUGAUAUCUUUUGCACUAUUGCCAUGCCUGUUUGAACAUGCUGUGGUGUGAUCUAGCCGUAGCUCAUUGUUCAUCUUUUGUCAAGCACCUCCUGUAGAUUACAGCCAUAUGCUUUGCUGCUAUGUUGGGGUGCUGUAGCAUUAUUACUUGUUGCAUUCUAAGUGCUAUCAUGCUGUUAAUCGCAGAUUCGUGUCAUUCUUGUUUUGCUUGCCAUUUGCAAACCGUGCAUCCGUUUCCGGUGAUCUUUAUAUCGAUUUCAACCGAAAUCAUCUCAUCUUUCCAGUGGCAUGCUUGGUUUGUCAAUUUACUGCCUUGUUCAUCAUUUUUCUUCCGGAGCACGCAUAUCAUAUCUUGCAUAUCAUUCAUGUAUUGCAUCAUGUUGCUUGUGCAUUUCCCGUGAUUGAUUGUGGUUCCGUUGCUUGUGUUCUUGUUUUGGGUAGAGCCGGGAGACGAGUUCGUGAACGAGGAACCUGUUGAGUACGCUUACGAGGAUCAAGCUUUCGACAACUCUGAGAACCUUGCAGGCAAGAUGACCAUACCCUCGAAAUCACUUCUAUCUUUGCUUUGCUAGUUGUUCGUUCUUUGCCAUGCUACGCUACCUAUCACUUGCUAUAUCAUGCCUCCCAUAUUGCCAUGUCAAGCCUCUAACCAUCCUUUCCUAGCAAACCGUUGUUUGGUUAAGUUACCGCUUUUGCUCAGCCCUUCUUAUAGCGUUGCUAGUUGCAGGUGAAGUUGAAGGUGGUUCCAUGUUGGAACAUGGAUAUGUUGGGAUAUCACAAUAUCUCUUAUUUAAAUUAAUGCAUCUAUAUAUUUGGUAAAGGGUGGAAGGCUCGGCCUUAUGCCUGGUGUUUUGUUCCACUCUUGCCGCCCUAGUUUCUGUCAUACCGGUAUUAUGUUCCUUGAGUUUGCGUUCCUUACGCGGUUGGGUGAUUUAUGGGACCCCCUUGACAGUUCGCCUUGAAUAAAACUCCUCCAGCAAGGCCCAACCUUGGUUUUACCAUUUGCCACCUAAGCCUUUUUCCCCCGGGUUUUCGUGAGCCCGAGGGUCAUCUUUAUUUAAACCCCCGGGCCAGUGUUCCUCUGAAUGCUGGUCCAACCUAGAGCACCAUGCGGGACCGUCCCUUGGCAACCUAGAGCUUAUGAUGGGCUAAGUUGGGACACUCCUGCAGGGUAUUAUCUUUCGAAAGCCGUGCCCGCGGUUAUGAGGCGGAUGGGAAUUUGUUAAUGUCCGGUUGUAGAGAACUUGGCAGUUGACCCAAUUAAAAUACAUCAACCGUGUGCGUAACCGUGAUGGUCUCUUCUCGGCGGAGUCCGGGAAGUGAACACGGUUUGAGUUAUGCAUGAACAUAAGUAGUUUCAGGAUCACUUCUUGAUCAUGUCUAGCUUCGCGACCGUUGCGUUGCUUCUCUUCUCGCUCUCAUUUGCGUAUGUUAGCCACCAUAUAUGCUUAGUGCUUGUUGCAGCUCCACCUCAUUACACCAGCCUUUCCUAUAAGCUUAAAUAGUCUUGAUCUCGCGCGUGUGAGAUUGCUGAGUCCUCGUGACUCAUAGAUUCUACCAAAACAGUCGCAGGUUCCGACGAUGCCAGUGCAGGUGAUGCAACCGAGCUCGAGUGGGAGUUCGAUGAGGGACGUGGCCGUUACUAUGUGUCUUUUCCUGAUGAUCGGUAGUGGAGCCCAGUUGGGACGAUCGGGGAUCUAGCAUUUGGGGUUAUCUUAUUUUCAUUUGGAUUUUGACCGUAGUCGGUCUAUGUGUGGUUUUUGGAUGAUGUAUGAAUUAUAUUUAUGUAUUGUGUGAAGUGGCGAUAUUAAGCCAACUCUCGUUAUCCCAUUUUUGUUCAUUACAUGGGAUUGUGUGAGGAUGACGCUUCUUGCGACAAAACCACUAUGCGGUUUUGCCACUAAGUCGUGCCUCGACACGUGGGAGAUAUAGCCGCAUCGUGUUCGUUAUAAUGGGUACCUAACUUUGGAAAAAUUCCGUGAAUGGCAUUUUUAAGCAUGGAUUGGGUAGCAAAAAGUUAUUUUGGAAGAGCCACGAAAGAGGUAGUUAUCGAGGAGUUUUUGGAUGUCAUUUGUUUUCGAGUCGCGUUUGGUCGGUUUUAGGGCAAAUUCUGUACAAGAUGUCAUAUAUGGGUACCUAACUUGGAAAAAUUCUGUGAAUGACAUUUUUUAAGCAUGGAUUGGGUAGCAAAAAGUUAUGUUGGACGAGCCACUAAAGAGGUAAUUAUCGAGGAGUUUUUGCGUGUCCUUUGUUUUCGAGUCGCGUUUGGUCGGUUUUAGGGCAAAUUAUGUACACCAUGUCAUAUAUGGGUACCUAACUUUGGAAAAAUUCUGUGAAUGGCAUUUUUUGAGCAUGGAUUGGGUAGCAAAAAGUUAUUUUAGAAGAUCCACGAAAGAGGUAGUUAUCGAGUCACGUUUGGUCGGUUUUAGGGCAAAUUCUGUACAAGAUGUCAUAUAUGGGUACCUAACUUGGAAAAAUUCUAUGACCGGCUUUUUAAACAUGGAUUGUGUCGUGGAAUUGUCACGGCAGAUGUCCUAGUGUAAGGACUUAGUCGCGAGGCCAACGCAUCUAUGUGGGAUCUUGAAGGGGUUGAGCGGAAUCAAGAGACGCAACACGUAAGACGAGGAUUUAGACAGCUUCGGGCCCCGGGAAACAUCAUCCGGUAAUAACCCUACAUGCUGUUUGUAGCUAGGUCUCAUUAUGAUCAUGAAGGAGUCGCCGUAAGCCGGCUCUCCUUUUUCUGUCUAGCCCUAGAUAUUGUUUCUUGUCUCUCGUCCCUCUUGGGGAGCCCUGCCGGCCCCUCCUUAUAUAAGUUGAAGGGGCGGCUUACAUGUAGAGUCCUAGUAGGACUAGGACUAGUCUAUCUUUUCUUACAAGUUGAAUACAAGUCCAGGUCUUGCUUCCUUUGUAGGAAGAAUAUUCCUUAUGCCUUUCCUCUUAAGUCGGCCUACCAUAACGUAAGCCGGCCUUCUGGGCCUUGAGCCUCUUGGGCCCCCGGGUCUUUUCGCUCCUCUGAUCCGCUUGCCACGUCACCCAUAAGUCGCCAGACUCGGGCAGGUCACUUAGUGAGUCGUCCAGUCAGGGCGGGUCAUUAGUACGUCGCGAAGUCCGGCCGGGUUAUACAUCCGGCCGGGUCAUACUGCGGGGUAUAUCCCCGACAGAUUGGGUAGCCAAAAGUUAUUUUGGACAAGCCAUGAAAGAGAUAGUUAUCAAGGAGUUUUUGCGUGUCCUUUGUUUCGAGUCGCGUUUGGUCGGUUUUAGGGCAAAUUUUGUACAACAUGUCAUAUAUGGGUACCUAACUUGGAAACAUUCGGUGAACGAAAUUUUAUAAGGAUGGAUUGGGUAGCAAAAAUUAUGUUGGACGAGCCACGAAAGAGGUAGUUACCGAGGAGUUUUUGCAUGUUCUUUGUUUUUGAGUCGCGUUUGGUCGGUUUUAGGGCAAAUUCUGUGCAAGAUGUAAUAUAUGGGUACCUAACUUGGAAAAAUUAUGUGAACGGCAUUUUUAAGCAUGGAUUGGGUUAUAAAAAGUUAUGUUGGACGAGCCACGAAAGAGUUAGUUAUUGAGGAGUUUUUGCGUGUCCUUUGUUUUUUAGUCGCGUUUGGUAGGUUUAAGGGCAAAUUAUGCACAAGUUUUCAUAUAUGGGUACCUAACUUGGAAAAAUUAUGUAAACAUCAUUUUUUAAGCAUGGAUUGGGUAGCAAAAAGUUAUUUUGGACAAGCCAUGAAAUAGGUAUUUAUCAAGGAGUUUUUACGUGUCCUUUGUUUUCGAGUUGCGUUUGGUCGGUUUUAGGACAAAUUCUGGACAAGCUAUCAUAUAUGGGUACCUAACUUGGAAAAAUUAUGUGAGCAGCAUUUUUUAAGCAUGCAUUGGGUAGCAAUAAGUUAUUUUGGAUGAGCCAAGAAAGAGGUAGUUAUCGAGUAGUUUUUACAUGUCAUUUGUUUUCGAGUCGCGUUUGGUCGAAUAUAGCUCAACCCCUUUGUUAUUCGACGUGGAUUGUAUUCGAAUCAGCGUCGCUAAACAACUCUUAAGGUCAUUUGGGGGCUUCCUGUUCAAACAUAGGUCGUAUUCGAACCAAAGAGAACAUAGCUGUCGAUACCCUUUUGAUUAGCAAACUGCUGAACCUACUUGGGUUCUUCUUGAUCGUAUCCGAAUCAUAGCUCAACCCCUUUGGGAUUCGACGUGGAUCGUAUUCGAAUCAGCGUUGCUAAACAACUCUUAAGGUCAUUUGGGGGCUUCUUGUUCAAACAUAGGUCGUAUUCGAACCAAAGAGAACAUAGCUGUCGAUACCCACUUUGAUCGGCAAUGCCAACGCCACUGGGGGCUAUAUGAUCGUAUUCGAAUCUUAGCUUAACCCCUUUGGAACGGUUUACUGAUCGUAUUCGAAUCAGAAGGCUCAAAUUUUUUUAUCUGUUUUUAUACAAUCACAAGUAUUUGAGUCGUCACAAAUAUCAUAUGUGCCGGCUUUUACCGGGUUACGUUAUCAACUUCACCCUCCGGGUCACGUAAACCGGUGGUAUCAUCCAAAGGAUCAUAAGUAUGAUAACAUCAAUUGUGUCUUAACAUCAUGAUUGAUAACCGGCUUGUCUAUUUAUGAUUCUUUUUGGGUUUUUUAUAUGACCCGCCCUGCGGCAAACCGCCAAGGGUUCUUGUGAUCUACUUGUGUGCAGGGUAAGACUACAUUUGGGUGGUUACCCGCCCUGGUUUUUGACGUUAAGUCGCCAGGGCAUAUGUUGUUUAAACUCUGUGCAGGAUUUGCAGAACUAUGACUUAUAUAAAUGCUUCAGUCCAAGCUCAUCACUGAAAUUGGUGUCUCAAAAGGGUUAUCAAUUAUUGGUUUUCUCAAGGGCUAUAGGCCACCGGGUUACAAAAAUUCCGGCUUACAAUGAAGGCGCAUUAAGUCGUCAUUGGCCAAGAGCCGCCAGGUAUUUAAACUCCGGGUUUACUUGUCAACCGAUGAGGUAUUCAAAUCUUUAAUAGCCAAAACUGGCUGAAUUUUCAUGAUGAUAUUGAAUGAUUGAGGUUUUCAUACCGGAUUAUAUUAUUCAAAUCUUGAAUAGCCAACAUGGCUGGAUUUCUAUUGUGAUUAUCAAUAACCAGUGUUAUGAUUGAGGUUUUCAAAGUCGCUUUAGCGCAACGGCUAUUAUUUUUAUCAAUGGGCAUGAUUUAUUUUACAAUGGAGGAAAUAGUCCCGAGUCGCUGCAGGCUUACGACCCGGCACUUGGGGGCUACAUUGUUCAAAUCGAGAUUACAUCGAAUAUACAAGUCCCAUGUCACUGCCAGCAUGCACCAUGGCACUUGGGGGCUAAUGCAAAGUCAUAUUUUGCUCAACUUAUUGAAGACCCGACUCAUCACAUUUUAAAUGAGCCGGCCCUUGGGGGCUACCAAUUGCUCCUGUCGGAAAUUCAAGGUACACAAGCCUUAAUCCAUUAUAUUGAAAGAUCCAUUAUUCAGUUGGUAGAGUACAAAGCUCUUAACCUUGUGGACGUGGGUUCAAGCCCCAUGGUGGAGAUUACAUCAUUUGAUGGUAUUAUCAACGAAUCAUAUACAAAGUCCCAGCUCAGUAAUAUCUUAUUGAGCCGGCCCUUGGGGGCUACACGUUGCUGUUAAAGUCUACAUGAUCAUAUUUUCAAAAGUCCCUGUUCAUUAUUGCAUAAUGACCCGGCCCUUGGGGGCUACACUGGUUGAAGUUUUCAUAAGCAUAAAGCAAUUACAACUCCCUGGUUGCUGCAAGCAUGACAACCCGGCACUUGGGGGCUACAUGUGUGGAAUAUUCAGUUUAUAUGAUUGAGAUGAAUAAACCGGAUUUCUUCAAGGUUGCAACAUUUAUUGGAGCAAGUCUUAAACCAUCACUUUGUUCUGCUCAAGACUUGGGGGCUACAUGUAAUAUGGAUAUAAGGGAGAAAAAUCUUCAAAUUAUCAGUUUUGAGCAAGUCAGGAGGAUCAAAUUGACCCGGUGUUUGCAACAAUCAUGAUCCGGCGUCACCAAUAAUUAUGACCCGACGUCGGCAACAGUUAUGACCCGGUGCUAUCAAUAUUUAUAAGUCGGCAAUUUUGAUAAACCGGCAAGUCUUACUUCUUCAACCCGGCUGAAAGUCAGAUGAGUAUUUCAAGACCAAUAUGUUUUAAGCCAGCGCUUUGGAAGCCGAUUCAAGUGGAUUAUUUCUUACAAUAUUUCUCUACAAGAGACCAAUGCCAGCAAAUUGACUCGGAAGCUGGCCUAUUGACCCGGAUUUCUCAAAAGAAGUAUCCGGAAUUUUUGCAUUCACAAAAGUUGGAACAUAUCUACUAAAGGAGAUUUGCUAUAAGUUCAUGGGCAUGUAUCAAAGAGGAGAUGACCAGGACUUAAGGAUGAUCAAGUGCCGGCUUACAAGAAUAUUUAACCCGGAGUACAACCUGUCAAUUUGUUCUUGUGUUUAUGUUGCAGAUCAGUUUAACAUGGAUAAAUCCAAAUUAAACUUGGGGGCUAAUGUCGGGGAUAUACCCCGCGGUAUGACCCGGCCGGAUGUAUAACCCGGCCGGACAUGGCGACGUACUAAUGACCCGCCCUGACUGGACUACUCACUAAGUGACCCGCCCGAGUCUGGCGACUUAUGGGUGACCUGGCAAGCGGAUCAGAGGAGCGACAAGAACCGGGGGCCCAAGAGGCUCAAGGCCCAGAAAGCCGGCUUACGUUAUGGUAGGUCGGCUUAAGAGGAAAGGCAUAAGGAAUAUUCUCCUACAAAGGAAGCAAGACCUGGACUUGUAUUCAACUUGUAAGAAAAGAUAGACUAGUCCUAGUCCUACUAGGACUCUACAUGUAAGCCGCCCCUUCAACUUAUAUAAGGAGGGGCAGGGCUCCUCAAGAGGGACGAGAGACAAGAAACAAUAUCUAGGGCUAGACAGAAAGAGGACAGCCGGCUUAUGGCGACUCCUUCAUGAUCAUAAUGAGACCUAGCCACAAACAGCAUGUAGGGUUAUUACCGGAUGAUGUUUCCCAGGGCUCGAAGCUGUCUAAAUCCUCGUCUUAUGUGUUGCGUAUCUUGAUUCUGCUCAACCCCUUCAAUCUACCACAUAGAUGCGUUGGCCUCGCGUCUAAGUCCUUACACUAGGACAUCUGCCGUGACAAUUCCACGACAGUCGGUUUUAGGGCAAAUUCUAUACAAGACGUCAUAUAUGGGUACCUAACGUGGAAAAAUUAUGUAAAUGACAUUUUUUAAGCAUGGAUUGAGUAGCAAAAAGAUUUUUUGGACGAGCCAUGAAAGAGGUAUUUAUUGAGGAAUUUUUGCGUGUCCUUUGUUUUCGAGUCGUGUUUGGUCGGUUUUAGGGCAAAUUCUAGACAAGCUGUCAUAUAUGGGUACCUAACUUGGAAAAAUUCUGUGAGUAGCAUUUUUAAGCAUGGAUUGGGUAGCCAUAAGUUAUUUUGGACGAGCCAAGAAAGAGGUAGUUAUCAAGGAGUUUUUGCGUGUCCUUUGUUUUCGAGUCGCAUUUGGUCGGUUUUAGGGCAAAUUCUGGACAAGAUGUAAUAUAUGGGUCCUAACUUGGAAAAAUUAUGUGAAUGGCAUUUCUUAAGCAUGGAUUGGGUAGUAAAAAGUUAUUUUGGAGGAGCCAUGAAAGAGGUAUUUAGCGAGGAGGUUUUGUGUGUCCUUUGUUUUCGAGUCGCAUUUGGUCGGUUUUAGGGCAAAUUCUGGACAAGCUGUCAUAUAUGGGUACCUGAGUUGGAAAAAUUCUGUGAGCAGCAUUUUUUAAGCAUGCAUUAGGUAGCCAUAAGUUAUUUUGGAUGGGCCAAUAAAGAGGUAGUUAUCGAGUNNNNNNNNNNNNNNNNNNNNNNNNNNNNNNNNNNNNNNNNNNNNNNNNNNNNNNNNNNNNNNNNNNNNNNNNNNNNNNNNNNNNNNNNNNNNNNNNNNNNNNNNNNNNNNNNNNNNNNNNNNNNNNNNNNNNNNNNNNNNNNNNNNNNNNNNNNNNNNNNNNNNNNNNNNNNNNNNNNNNNNNNNNNNNNNNNNNNNNNNNNNNNNNNNNNNNNNNNNNNNNNNNNNNNNNNNNNNNNNNNNNNNNNNNNNNNNNNNNNNNNNNNNNNNNNNNNNNNNNNNNNNNNNNNNNNNNNNNNNNNNNNNNNNNNNNNNNNNNNNNNNNNNNNNNNNNNNNNNNNNNNNNNNNNNNNNNNNNNNNNNNNNNNNNNNNNNNNNNNNCUGCACAAGCUGUCAUAUAUGGGUACCUAACUUGGAAAAAUUCUGUGAGCAGCAUUUUUAAGCAUGGAUUGGGUAGCAAUAAGUUAUUUUGGAUGAGCCAAGAAAGAGGUAGUUAUCAAGGAGUUUUUGCGUGUCCUUUGUUUUUGAGUCGCGUUUGGUCGGUUUUAGGGCAAAUUAUGUACAAGACAUCAAAUAUGGGUACCUAACUUGGAAAAAUUCUGUGAGAAGCAUUUUUUAAGCAUGGAUUGUGUAGCAAUAAGUUAUUUUGGAUGAGCCAAGAAAGAGGUAGUUAUCAGGUAGUUUUUGCAUGUCCUUUGUUUUUGAGUCGCGUUUGAUCGGUUUUAGGGCAAAUUAUGUACAAGACGUCAUAUAUGGGUACCUAACGUGGAAAAAUUCUAUGAACGACAUUUUUAAGCAUGGAUUGGGUAGUAAAAAGUUAUUUUUGGCAAGCCACGAAAGAGGUAGUUAUCGAGGAGUUUCUGCGUGUCCUUUGUUUCCGAGUCGCGUUUGGUAGGUUUUAGGGCAAAUUCUGUAACAGAUGCCAUAUAUGGGUACCUAACUUGGAAAAUUUCUAUGAACGACAUUUUUUAAGCAUGGAUUGGGCAGCAAAAAGCUAUUUUGGACGAGACACAAAAGAGGUAUUUAUCGAGCAGUUUUUCCGUGUCCUUUGUUUUCGAGUCGGGUUUGGUCGCUUUUAGGGCAAAUUCUGGACAAGCUGUCAUAUAUGGGUACCUGACUUGGAAAAAUUCUAUGAGCAGCAUUUUUUAAGCAUGGGGUAGCAAUAAGUUAUUUUGGACGAGGCAAGAAAGAGGUAGUUAUGGAGUAGUUUUUGCAUGUCCUUUGUUUUCGAGUCGCGUUUGGUCGGUUUUAGGGCAAAUUUUGUACAAGACGUCAUAUAUGGGUACCUAACGUGGAAAAAUUAGGUAAACGACAUUUUCUAAGCAUGGAUUAGGUAGCAAAAAGUUAUUUUGGAUGAGCCUUGAAAGAGGUGUUUAUCGAGGAUUUUUUGCGUGUCCUUUGUUUUUGAGUCGCGUUUGGUCGUUUUAGGGCAAAUUAUGCACAAGUUUUCAUAUAUGGGUACCUAACUUCGAAAAAUUCUGUGAGUAGCAUUUUUUAAGCAUGGAUUGGGUAGCAAUAAGUUAUUUUGGACGAGCCUAGAAAGAGGUAGUUAUCGUGGAGUUUUUGCGUGUCCUUUGUUUUUGAGUCGCGUUUUGUCGGUUUUAGGGUAAUUUCUGUACAAGACGUCAUAUAUGGGUACCUAACUUGGAAAAUUAUGUGAAUGGAAUUUUUUAAGCAUGGAUUGGGUUAUAAAAAGUUAUGUUGGACGAGCCACGAAAGUGUUAGUUAUCGAGGAGUUUUUGCGUGUCCUUUGGUUCCGAGUCGCGUUUGGUAGGUUUUAGGGCAAAUUCUGUAAUAGAUGCCAUAUAUGGGUACCUAACUUGGAAAAUUUCUGUGAACGACAUUUUUUAAGCAUGGAUUGGGCAGCAAAAAGUUAUUUUGGACGAGACACAAAAGAGGUAUUUAUCGAGCAGUUUUUCCGUGUCCUUUGUUUUCGAGUCGGGUUUGGUCGAUUUUAGGGCAAAUUUUGGACAAGCUGUCAUAUAUGGGUACCUCACUUGGAAAACUUCCGUGACCAGCAUUUUUUGAGCAUGGAUUAGGUAGCAAUAAGUUAUUUUGGAUGAGCCAGGAAAGAGGUAGUUAUCGAGUAGUUUUUCCGUGUCCUUUCUUUUUGAGACGCGUUUGGUCGGUUUUUGGGCAAAUUUUGUACAAGACGUCAUAUAUGGCUACCUAACAUGGAAAAAUUAUGUGAACAAAAUUUUUUAAGCAUGGAUUGGGUAGCAAAAAGUUAUUUUGGACGAGCCACGAAAGAGGUAGUUAUCGAGGAAUUUUUGCGUGUCCUUUGUUUUUGAGUCGCGUUUGGUUGGUUUUAGGGUAAAUUCUGUACAAGAUGUGAUAUAUGGGUACCUAACUUCGAAAUAUUCUGUGAACGACAUUUCUUAGCAUGGAUUGGGUAGCAAAAAAUUAUUUUGGGCAAGCCACCAAAGAGGUAAUUAUCGAGGAGUUUCUGCAUGUCGCGUUUGGUCGGUUUUAGGGCAAAUUCUAUAACAGAUGUCAUAUAUGGCAUUCUUUUAAGCAUGGAUUUGGUAGAAAAAAUUAUUUUGGACGAGCCACAAAAGAGGUAGUUAUCGAGGAGUUUCUGCGUGUCCUUUUUUUUGGAGUCGCGUUUGGUUGGUUUUAGGGCAAAUUCUAUAACAGAUGCCAUAUAUGGUACCUAACUCGGAAAAUUUCUGUGAACGACAUUUUUUAAGCAUGGAUUGGGCAGCAAAAAGUUAUUUUGGACGUGCCACGAAAGAGGUAUUUAUCGAGGAGUUUUUGCGUGUCCAUUGUUUUCGAGUCGCGUUUGGUCGGUUUUAGGGUAAAUGUACAAGAUGUCAUGUAUGGUUACCUAACUUGGAAAAUUUCUAUGAACGGAAUUUUUUAAGAAUGGAUUGUGUAGCUAAAGUUAUUUUGGACGAGCCACGAAAGAGGUAGUUAUAGAGGAGGUUUUGCGUGUCCUUUGUUUUCGAGUCGGGUUUGGUCGCUUUUAGGGCAAAUUCUGGACAAGCUGUCAUAUAUGGGUACCUGACUUGGAAAAAUUCUAUGAGCAGCAUUUUUUAAGCAUGGGGUAGCAAUAAGUUAUUUUGGACGAGGCAAGAAAGAGGUAUUUAUCGAGUAGUUUUUGCAUGUCCUUUGUUUUCGAGUCGCGUUUGGUCGGUUUUAGGGCAAAUUUUGUACAAGACAUCAUAUAUGGGUACCUAACGUGGAAAAAUUAGGUAAACGACAUUUUCUAAGCAUGGAUUAGGUAGCAAAAAGUUAUUUUGGAUGAGCCUUGAAAGAGGUGUUUAUCGAGGAUUUUUUGCGUGUCCUUUGUUUUUGAGUCGCGUUUGGUCGGUUUUAGGGCAAAUUAUGCACAAGUUUUCAUAUAUGGGUACCUAACUUCAAAAAAUUCUGUGAGUAGCAUUUUUUAAGCAUGGAUUGGGUAGCAAUAAGUUAUUUUGGACGAGCCAAGAAAGAGGUAGUUAUCGUGGAGUUUUUGCGUGUCCUUUGUUUUUGAGUCGCGUUUUGUCGGUUUUAGGGCAAUUUCUGUACAAGACGUCAUAUAUGGGUACCUAACUUGGAAAAUUAUGUGAAUGGAAUUUUUUAAGCAUGGAUUGGGUUAUAAAAAGUUAUGUUGGACGAGCCACGAAAGUGUUAGUUAUAGAGGAGUUUUUGCGUGUCCUUUGGUUCCGAGUCGCGUUUGGUAGGUUUUAGGGCAAAUUCUGUAAUAGAUUCCAUAUAUGGGUACCUAACAUGGAAAAUUUCUGUGAACGACAUUUUUUAAGCAUGGAUUGGGCAGCAAAAAGUUAUUUUUGACGAGACACAAAAGAGGUAUUUAUCGAGCAGUUUUUCCGUGUCCUUUGUUUCGACUCGGGUUUGGUCGGUUUUAGGGCAAAUUUUGGACAAGCUGUCAUAUAUGGGUACCUCACUUGGAAAACUUCCGUGACCAGCAUUUUUUAAGCAUGGAUUAGGUAGCAAUAAGUUAUUUUGGAUGAGCCAAGAAAGAGGUAGUUAUCGAGUAGUUUUUCCGUGUCCUUUGUUUUUGAGACGCGUUUGGUCGGUUUUUGGGCAAAUUUUGUACAAGACGUCAUAUAUUGGUACCUAACAUGGAAACAUUAUGUGAACGAAAUUUUUUAAGCAUGGAUUGGGUAGCAAAAAGUUAUUUUGGACGAGCCACGAAAGAGGUAGUUAUCGAGGAAUUUUUGCGUGUCCUUUGUUUUUGAGUCGCGUUUGGUCGGUUUUAGGGUAAAUUCUGUACAAGAUGUGAUAUAUGGGUACCUAACUUCAAAAUAUUCUGUGAACGACAUUUUUUAGCAUGGAUUGGGUAGCAAAAAAUUAUUUUGGGCAAGCCACCAAAGAGGUAAUUAUCGAGGAGUUUCUGCAUGUCGCGUUUGGUCGGUUUUAGGGCAAAUUCUGUAACAGAUGUCAUAUAUGGCAUUCUUUUAAGCAUGGAUUUGGUAGAAAAAAUUAUUUUGGACGAGCCACAAAAGAGGUAGUUAUCGAGGAGUUUCUGCGUGUCCUUUGUUUUGGAGUCGCGUUUGGUCGGUUUUAGGGCAAAUUCUAUAACAAAAGCCAUAUAUGGUACCUAACUCGGAAAAUUUCUGUGAACGACAUUUUUUAAGCAUGGAUUGGGCAGCAAAAAGUUAUUUUGGACGUGCCACGAAAGAGGUAUUUAUCGAGGAGUUUUUGCUUGUCCUUUGUUUUCGAGUCGCGUUUGGUCGGUUUUAGGGUAAAUGUACAAGAUGUCAUGUAUGGUUACCUAACUUGGAAAAUUUCUAUGAACGGAAUUUUUUAAGAAUGGAUUGUGUAGCUAAAGCUAUUUUGGACGAGCCACGAAAGAGGUAGUUAUAGAGGAGGUUUUGCGUGUCCUUUGUUUUCGAGUCGCGUUUGGUUGGUUCAAGGGCAAAUUCUGUACAAGAUGUCAUAUAUGGGUACCUAACUUAGAAAAAUUCUGUGAACGACAUUUUGUUAGCAUGGAUUGGGUAGCAAAAAGUUAUGUUGGACGAGCCACUAAAGAGGUAGUUAUCGAGGAGUUUUUGCGUCUCCUUUGUUUUCCGAGUCGCGUUUGGUUGGUUUUAGGGCAAAUUCCGUACACGAUGUAAUAUAUGGGUACCUAACUUGGAAAAAUUAGGUGAACGACAUUUUUAAUUAUGGAUGGGGUUAUAAAAAGUUAUGUUGGAGGAGCCACGAUAGAGUUAGUUAUCGAGGAGUUUUUGCGUGUCCUUUGUUUUCGAGUCGCGUUUGGUCAGUUUUAGGGCAAAUUCUGUACAACAUGUCAUAUAUGGGUACCUAACUUUGGAAAAAUUCUGUGAAUGGCAUUUUUUAAGCAUGGAUUGGGUAGCAGAAAGUUAUUUUGGAAGAGCCACGAAAGAGGUAGUUAUCGAGGAGUUUUUGCAUGUCAUUUGUUUUCGAGUCGCGUUUAGUCGGUUUUAGGACAAAUUCUGUACAAGAUGUCAUAUAUGGGUACCUAACUUGGAAAAAUUCUGUGAGUGACAUUUCCUAAGCAUGGAUUGGGUAGCAAAAAGUUAUGUUGGACGAGCCACUAAAGAGGUAGUUAUCGAGGAGUUUUUGCAUGUCCUUUUUUUUCGAGUCUCGUUUGGUCGGUUUUAGGGCAAAUUCUGUACAACAUGUGAUAUAUGGGUACCUAACUUUGGAAAAAUUCUGUUAAUGGCAUUUUUUAAGCAUGGAUUGGGUAGCAAAAAGUUAUUUUGGAAGAGCCACGAAAGACGUAGUUAUUGAGUCACGUUUCGUCGGUUUUAGGCCAAAUUCUGUACAAGAUGUCAUAUAUGGGUACCUAACAUGGAAAAAUUCUAUGACCGGCUUUUUAAGCAUGGAUUGGGUAGCCAAAAGUUAUUUUGGACGAGUCAUGAAAGAGAUAGUUUUUGCGUGUCCUUUGUUUCGAGUCACGUUUGGUCGAUUUUAGGGCAAAUUUUGUACAACAUGUCAUAUAUGGGUACCUAACUUGGAAACAUUCGGUGAACGACAUUUUAUAAGGAUGGAUUGGGUAGCAAAAAUUUCUGUUGGACGAGCCACGAAAGAGGUAGUUACCGAGGAGUUUUUGCAUGUUCUUUGUUUUUGAGUCGCGUUUGGUCGGUUUUAGGGCAAAUUCUGUAAAAGAUGUAAUAUAUGGGUACCUAAAUUGGAAAAAUUAUGUUAACGGCAUUUUUAAGCGUGGAUUGGGUUAUAAAAAGUUAUGUUGGACGAGCCACGAAACAGUUAGUUAUUGAGGUGUUUUUGCGCGUCCUUUGUUUUCGAGUCGCGUUUGGUAGGUUUAAGGACAAAUUAUGCACAAGUUUUCAUAUAUGGGUACCUAACUUGGAAAAAUUAUGUAAACAGCAUUUUUUAAGCAUGGUUUGGGUAGCAAAAAGUUAUUUUGGACAAGCCAUGAAAGAGGUAUUUAUCGAGGAGUUUUUACGUGUCCUUUGUUUUGGAGUCGCGUUUGGUCGGUUUUAUGGCAAAUUCUGGACAAGCUAUCAUAUAUGGGUACCUAACUUGGAAAAAUUCUGUGAGCAGCAUUUUUUAAGCAUGGAUUGGGUAGCAAUAAGUUAUUUUGGAUGAGCCAAGAAAGAGGUAGUUAUCGAGUAGUUUUUGCAUGUCAUUUGUUUUGGAGUCGCGUUUGGUCGGUUUUAGGGCAAAUUCUAUACAAGAUGUCAUAUAUGGGUACCUAACAUGGAAAAAUUAUGUAAACGACAAUUUUUAAGCAUGGAUUGGGUAGCAAACAAUUUUUUUUGACGAGCCAUGAAAGAGGUAUUUAUCUAGGAGUUUUUACGUGUCCUUUGUUUUCGAGCCGCGUUUGGUCGGUUUUAGGGCAAAUUCUAGACAAGCUGUAAUCUAUGGGUACCUAACUUGGAAAAAUUCUAUGAGUAGCAUUUUUAAGCAUGGAUUGGGUAGCAAUAAGUUAUUUUGGACGAGCCAAGAAAGAGGUAGUUAUCAUGGAGUUUUUGCGUGUCCUUUGUUUUUUGAGUCGCGUUUGGUUGGUUUUAGGGCAAAUUCCGUACAAGAUGUAAUAUAUGGGUACCUAACUUGGAAAAAUUAUGUAAAUGGCAUUUUUAAUUAUGGAUUGGGUUAUAAAAAGUUAUGUUGGAGGAGCCACGAUAGAGUUAGUUAUCGAGGACUUUUUGCGUGUACUUUGUUUUCGAGUCGCGUUUGGUCGGUUUUAGGGCAAAUUCUGGACAAGCUGUCAUAUAUGGGGACCUAAUUUGGAAAAAUUCUGUGAGCAGCAUUUUUUAAGCAAGGAUUGGGUAGCAAUAAGUUAUUUUGGAUGAGCCAAGAAAGAGGUCGUUAUCAAGUAGUUUUUGCAUGUCCUUUGUUUUCGAGUCGCGUUUGGUCGGUUUUAGGGCAAAUUCUGUACAACAUGUCAUAUAUGGGUACCUAACUUUGGAAAAAUUCUGUGAAUGGCAUUUUUUAAGCAUGGAUUGGGUAGCAAAAAGUUAUUUUGGAAGAGCCACGAAAGACGUAGUUAUUGAGUCACGUUUCAUCGGUUUUAGGCCAAAUUCUGUACAAGAUGUCAUAUAUGGGUACCUAACUUGGAAAAAUUCUAUGACCAGCUUUUUAAGCAUGGAUUGGGUAGCCAAAAUUUAUUUUGGACGAGCCAUGAAAGAGGUAGUUAUCAAGGAGUUUUUGCGUAUCCUUUGUUUCGAGUCGCGUUUGGUCGGUUUUAGGGCAAAUUUUGUACAACAUGUCAGAUAUGGGUACCUAACUUGGAAACAUUCGGUGAACAACAUUUUUUAAGAAUUGAUUGGGUAGCCAAAAGUUAUGUUGGACGAGCCACUAAAGAGGUAGUUAUCGAGGAGUUUUUGCGUGUCCUUUGUUUUCGAGUCGCGUUUGGUCGAUUUUAGGGCAAAUUCUGUACAACAUGUCAUAUAUGGGUACCUAACUUUGGAAAAAUAAUAUGAAUGGCAUCUUUAUGCAUGGAUUGGGUAGCAAAAAGUUAUUUUGGAAGAGCCACGAAAGAGGUAGUUAUCGAGUCACGUUUGCUCGGUUUUAGGGCAAAUUCUGUACAAGAUGUCAUAUAUGGGUACCUAACUUGGAAAAAUUCUAUGACCGGCUUUUUAAGCAUGGAUUGGGUAGCCAAAAGUUAUUUUGGACGAGCCAUGAAAGAGGUAGUUAUCAAGGAGUUUUUGCGUGUCCUUUGUUUCGGGUCGCGUUUGGUCGGUUUUAGGGCAAAUUUUGUACAACAUGUCAUAUAAGGGUACCUAACUUGGAAACAUUCGGUGAACGACAUUUUAUAAGGAUGGAUUGGGUAGCAAAAAUUUAUGUCGGACGAGCCACGAAAGAGGUAGUUACCGAGGAGUUUUUGCAUGUUCUUUGUUUUUGAGUCGCGUUUGGUCGGUUUUAGGGCAAAUUCUGUACAAGAUGUAAUAUAUGGGUACCUAACUUGGAAAAAUUAUGUUAACGGCAUUUUUAAGCGUGGAUUGGGUUAUAAAAAGUUAUGUUGGACGAGCCACGAAAGAGUUAGUUAUCGAGGUGUUUUUGCGCGUCCUUUCUUUUCGAGUCGCGUUAGGUAGGUUUAAGGACAAAUUAUGCACAAGUUUUCAUAUAUGGGUACCUAACUUGGAAAAAUUAUGUAAACAGCAUUUUUUAAGCAUGGUUUGGGUAGCAAAAAGUUAUUUUGGACAAGCCAUGAAAGAGGUAUUUAUCGAGGAGUUUUUACGUGUCCUUUGUUUUCGAGUCGCGUUUGGUCGGUUUUAGGGCAAAUUCUGGAGAAGCUAUCAUAUAUGGGUACCUAACUUGGAAAAAUUCUGUGAGCAGCAUUUUUUAAGCAUGGAUUGGGUAGCAAUAAGUUAUUUUGGAUUAGCCAAGAAAGAGGUAGUUAUCGAGUAGUUUUUGCAUGUCAUUUGUUUUUGAGUCGCGUUUGGUCGGUUUUAGGGCAAAUUCUAUACAAGACGUCAUAUAUGGGUACCUAACGUGGAAAAAUUAUGUAAACGACAUUUUUUAAGCAUGGAUUGGGUAGCAAACAAUUUUUUUGACGAGCCAUGAAAGAGGUAUUUAUCUAGGAGUUUUUACGUGUCCUUUGUUUUCGAGCCGCGUUUGGUCGGUUUUAGGGCAAAUUCUAGACAAGCUGUCAUCUAUGGGUACCUAACUUGGAAAAAAUUUAUGAGUAGCAUUUUUAAGCAUGGAUUGGGUAGCAAUAAGUUAUUUUGGACGAGCCAAGAAAGAGGUAGUUAUCAAGGAGUUUUUGCGUGUCCUUUGUUUUUUGAGUCGUGUUUGGUUGGUUUGAGGGCAAAUUCCGUACAAGAUGUAAUAUAUGGGUACCUAACUUGGAAAAAUUAUGUAAACGGCAUUUUUAAUUAUGGAUUGGGUUAUAAAAAGUUAUGUUGGAGGAGCCAUGAUAGAGUUAGUUAUCGAGGAGUUUUUGCGUGUACUUUGUUUUUGAGUCGUGUUUGGUCGGUUUUAGGGCAAAUUCUGGACAAGCUGUCAUAUAUGGGGACCUAACUUGGAAAAAUUCUGUGAGCAACAUUUUUUAAGCAUGGAUUGGGUAGCAAUAAGUUAUUUUGGAUGAGCCAAGAAAGAGGUAGUUAUCAAGUAGUUUUUGCAUGUCCUUUGUUUUCGAGUCGCGUUUGGUCGGUUUUAGGGCAAAUUAUGUACAAGACGUCAUAUAUGGGUACCUAACGUGGAAAAAUUCUGUGAACGACAUUUUUAAGCAUGGAUUGGGUAGCAAAAAGUUAUAUUGGACGAGCCACGAAAGAGGUAGUUAUCGAGGAGUUUUUGCGUGUCCUUUGUUUUUGAGUCACAUUUGGUCGGUUUUAGGGCAAAUUCUGUACAAGAUGUCAUAUAUGGGUAACUAACUUGGAAAUAUUCUAUGAACGGCAUUUUUAAGCAUGGAUUGGGUAGUAAAAAGUUAUUUUGGGCAAGCCACGAAAGAGGUAGUUAUCGAGGAGUUUCUGCGUGUCCUUUGUUUCCGAGUCGCAUUUGGUAGGUUUUAGGGAAAAUUCUGUAACAGAUGCCAUAUAUGGGUACCUAACUUGGAAAAUUUCUGUGAACAACAUUUUUUAAUCAUGCAUUGGGCAGCAAAAAGUUAUUUUGGACGAGACACAAAAGAGGUAUUUAUCGAGGAGUUUUUCCGUGUCCUUUGUUUUCCAGUCGGGUUUGGUCGCUUUUAGGGCAAAUUCUGGACAAGCUGUCAUAUAUGGGUACCUGACUUGGAAAAAUUCUAUGAGCAGCAUUUUUUAAGCAUGGGGUAGCAAUAAGUUAUUUUGGACGAGGCAGGAAAGAGGUAGUUAUCGAGUAGUUUUUGCGUGUCCUUUGUCCUCGAGUCGCGUUUGGUCGGUUUUAGGGCAAAUUUUGCACAAGACGUCAUAUAUGGGUACCUAACGUGGAAAAAUUAUGUAAACGACAUUUUCUAAGCAUGGAUUUGGUAGCAAAAAGUUAUUUUGGAUGAGCCAUGAAAGAGGUAUUUAUCGAGGAUUUUUGGCGUGUCCUUUGUUUUCGAGUCGCGUUUGGUCCGUUUUAGGGAAAAUUAUGCACAAGUUUUCAUAUAUAGGUACCUAACUUGGAAACAUUAUGUAAACAGCAUUUUUUAAGCAUGGUUUGGGUAGAAGAAAGUUAUUUUGGACAAGCCAUGAAAGAGGUAUUUAUCGAGGAGUUUUUACGUCUCCUUUGUUUUCGAGUCGCGUUUGGUCGGUUUUAGGGCAAAUUCUAGACAAGCUAUCAUAUAUGGGUACCUAACUUGGAAAAAUUCUUUGAGCAGCAUUUUUUUAGCAUGGAUUGGGUAGCAAUAAGUUAUUUUGGAUUAGCCAAGAAAGAGGUAGUUAUCGAGUAGUUUUUGCAUGUCAUUUUUUUUGAGUCGCGUUUGGUCGGUUUUAGGGCAAAUUCUAUACAAGACGUCAUAUAUGGGUACCUAACGUGGAAAAAUUAUGUAAACAACAUUUUUUAAGCAUGGAUUGGGUAGCAAACAAUUUUUUUUGACGAGCCAUGAAAGAGGUAUUUAUCUAGGAGUUUUUACGUGUCCUUUGUUUCCGAGCCGCGUUUGGUCGGUUUUAUGGCAAAUUCUAGACAAGCUGUCAUCUAUGGGUACCUAACUUGGAAAACUUCUAUGAGUAGAAUUUUUAAUCAUGGAUUGGGUAGCAAUAAGUUAUUUUGGACGAGCCAAGAAAGAGGUAGUUAUCAAGGAGUUUUUGCGUGUCCUUUGUUUUUUGAGUCGCGUUUGGUUGGUUUUAGGGCAAAUUCCGUACAAGAUGUAAUAUAUGGGUACCUAACUUGGAAAAAUUAUGUAAACGGCAUUUUUAAUUAUGGAUUGGGUUAUAAAAAGUUACGUUGAAGGAGCCACGAUAGAGUUAGUUAUCGAGGAGUUUUUGCGUGUACUUUGUUUUCGAGUCGCGUUUGGUCGGUUUUAGGGCAAAUUCUGGACAAGCUGUCAUAUAUGGGGACCUAACUUGGAAAAAUUCUGUGAGCAGCAUUUUUUAAGCAUGGAUUGGGUAGCAAUAAGUUAUUUUGGAUGAGCCAAGAAAGAGGUAGUUAUCAAGUAGUUUUUGCAUGUCCUUUGUUUUUGAGUCGCGUUUGGUCGGUUUUAGGGCAAAUUAUGUACAAGACGUCAUAUAUGGGUACCUAACGUGGAAAAAUUCUGUGAACGACAUUUUUAAGCAUGGAUUGGGUAGCAAAAAGUUAUAUUGGACGAGCCACGAAAGAGGUAGUUAUCGAGGAGUUUUUGCGUGUCCUUUGUUUUUGAGUCGCGUUUGGUCGGUUUUAGGGCAAAUUCUGUACAAGAUGUCAUAUAUGGGUACCUAACUUGGAAAUAUUCUGUGAACGGCAUUUUUAAGCAUGGAUUGGGUAGUAAAAAGUUAUUUUGGGCAAGCCACGAAAGAGGUAGCUAUCGAGGAGUUUCUGCGUGUCCUUUGUUUCCGAGUCGCGUUUGGUAGGUUUUAGGGCAAAUUCUGUAACAGAUGCCAUAUAUGGGUACCUAACUUGGAAAAUUUCUGUGAACAACAUUUUUUAAGCAUGGAUUGGGCAGCAAAAAGUUAUUUUGGACGAGACACAAAAGAGGUAUUUAUCGAGGAGUUUUCCCGUGUCCUUUGUUUUCCAGUCGGGUUUUGUCGCUUUUAGGGCAAAUUCUGGACAAGCUGUCAAAUAUGGGUACCUGACUUGGAAAAAUUCUAUGAGCAGCAUUUUUUAAGCAUGGGGUAGCAAUAAGUUAUUUUGGACGAGGCAGGAAAGAGGUAUUUAUCGAGUAGUUUUUGCGUGUCCUUUGUCUUCGAGUCGCGUUUGGUCGGUUUUAGGGCAAAUUUUGUACAAGACGUCAUAUAUGGGUACCUAACGUGGAAAAAUUAUGUAAACGACAUUUUCUAAGCAUGGAUUGGGUAGCAAAAAGAUAUUUCAGAUGAGCCAUGAAAGAGGUAUUUUUGAGGAUUUUUGGCGUGUCCUUUGUUUUCGAGUCGCGUUUGGUCGGUUUUAGGGCAAAUUAUGCACAAGUUUUCAUAUAUGGGUACCUAACUUGGAAAAAUUCUGUGAGUAGCAUUUUUUAAGCAUGGAUUGGGUAGCAAUAAGUUAUUUUGGACGAGCCAAGAAAGAGGUAGUUAUCGUUGAGUUUUUGCGUGUCCUUUAUUUUUGAGUCGCGUAUGUUGGUUUUAGGGCAAAUUCUGUACAAGAUGUAAUAUAUGGGUACCUAACUUGGAAAAAUUAUGUGAAUGGAAUUUUUUAAGCAUGGAUUGGGUUAUAAAAAGUUAUGUUGGACAAGCCACGAAAGAGUUAGUUAUCGAGGAGUUUUUGCGUGUCUUUUGUUUUUGAGUCGCGUUCGGUAGGUUUAAGGGCAAAUUAUGCACAAGAUGUCAUAUAUGGGUACCUAACUUGGAAAAAUUAUGUAAACGGCAUUUUUUAAGCAUGGAUUGGGUAGCAAAAGUUAUUUUGGACGAGCCAUGAAAGAGGUAUUUAUCGAGGAGUUUUUGCGUGUCCUUUGUUUUCGAGUCGCAUUUGGUUGGUUUUAGGGCAAAUUGUGGACAAGCUGUCAUAUAUGGAUACCUAACUUGAAAAAAUUAUGUGUCCAGCAUUUUUUAAGCAUGGAUUAGGUAGCAAUAAGUUAUUUUGGAUGAGCCAAGACAGAGGUAGUUAUCGAGUAGUUUUUCCGUAUCCUUUGUUUUUGAGUCGCGUUUGGUCGGUUUUAGGGCAAAUUCUGUACAAGACGUCAUAUAUCGGUACCUAACAUGGAAAAAUUCUGUGAACAAAAUUUUUCAAGCAUGGAUUGGGUAGCAAAAAGUUAUUUUGGACGAGCCAUGAAAGAGGUAGUUAUCGAGGAAUUUUUGCGUGUCCUUUGUUUUUGAGUCGCGUUUGGUCGGUUUUAGGGUAAAUUCUAUACAAGAUGUCAUAUAUGGGUACCUAACUUGGAAAUAUUCUGUGAACGACAUUUUUAAGCAUGGAUUGGGUAGCAAAAAGUUAUUUUGGGCAAGCCACCAAAGAGGUAAUUAUCGAUGAGUUUCUGCAUGUCGCGUUUGGUCGCUUUUAGGGCAAAUUCUGUAACAGAUGUCAUACAUGGUACCUACAUUGGAAAUUUUCUGCGAACGGCAUUCUUUUAAGCAUGGAUUUGGUAGAAAAAAUUAUUUUGGACGAGCCACAAAAGAGGUAGUUAUCGAGGAGUUUCUGCGUGUCCUUUGUUUUUGAGUCGCGUUUGAUCGGUUUUAGGGCAAAUUCUAUAACAGAUGCCAUAUAUGGUACCUAACUUGGAAAAAAUUUGUGAACGGCAUUUUUUAAGCAUGGAUUGGGCAGCAAAAAGUUAUUUUGGAUGAGCCUUGAAAGAGGUAUUUAUCAAGGAGUUUUUGUGUGUCCUUUGUUUUCGAGUCGCGUUUGGUCGGUUUUCGGGUAAAUUAUGUACAAGAGGUCAUGUAUGGUUACCUAACUUGGAAAAUUUCUAUGAAUGGAAUUUUUUAUGAAUGGAUUGGGUAGCUAAAAGUUAUUUUGGAUGAGCCAAGAAAGAGGUACUUAUAGAGGAGGUUUUGCGUGUCCUUUGUUUUCGAGUCGCGUUUGGUUGGUUCAAGGGCAAAUUUUGUACAAGAUGUCAUAUAUGGGUACCUAACUUGGAAAAAUUUUGUGAACGGAAUUUUUUAAGCAUGGAUUGGGUAGCAAAAAGUUAUGUUGGACGAGCCACUAAAGAGGUAGUUAUCGGGGAGUUUUUGCGUGUCCUUUGUUUUCGAGUCGCGUUUGGUCGGUUUUGGGGCAAAUUCUGUACAACAUGUCANNNNNNNNNNUUUUUUUGGACGAGCCAUGACAGAGGUAUUUAUCGAGGAGUUUUUGCGUGUCCUUUGUUUUCGAGUCGCGUUUGGUCGGUUUUAGGGUAAAUUAUGUACAAGAGGUCAUGUAUGGUUACCUAACUUGGAAAAUUUCUACGAAUGGAAUUUUUUAUGAAUGGAUUGGGUAGCUAAAAGUUAUUUUGGAUGGGCCAAGAAAGAGGUAGUUAUAGAGGAGGUUUUGCGUGUCCUUUGUUUUCCAGUCGCGUUUGGUUUGUUCAAGGGCAAAUUUUGUACAAGAUGUCAUAUAUGGGUACCUAACUUGGAAAAAUUAUGUGAACGACAUUUUUUAAGCAUGGAUUGGGUAGAAAAAAGUUAUGUUGGACGAGCCACUAAAAAGUUAGUUAUCGGGGAGUUUUUGCGUGUCCUUUGUUUUCGAGUCGCGUUUGGUCGGUUUUAGGGCAAAUUCUGUACAACAUGUCAUAUAUGGGUACCUAACUUUGGAAAGAUUCUGUGAAUGGCAUUUUUUAAGCAUGGAUUGGGUAGCAAAAAGUUAUUUUGGAAGAGCCACGAAAGAGGUAGUUAUCGAGGAGUUUUUGCAUGUCAUUUGUUUUCGAGUCGCGUUUGGUCGGUUUUAGGGCAAAUUCUGUACAAGAUGUCAUAUAUGGGUACCUAACUUGGAAAAAUUCUAUGACCGGCUUUUUGCGUGUCCUUUGUUUUCGAGUCGCGNNNNNNNNNNAGGAGUUUGUGCGUGUCCUUUGUUUUCGAGUCGCGUUUGGUCGGUUUUAGGGCAAAUUUUGUACAACAUGUCAUAUAUGGGCACCUAACUUGGAAUAAUUCUAUGACCGGCUUUUUAAGCAUGGAUUGGGUAGCAGAAAUUUAUGUUGGACGAGCCACGAAAGAGGUAGUUACCGAGGAGUUUUUGCGUGUUCUUUGUUUUUGAGUCACGUUUGGUCGGUUUUAGGGCAAAUUCUAUACAAGAUGUAAUAUGUGGGUACCUAACUUGGAAAAAUUAUGUGAAAGGCAUUUUUAAGCAUGGAUUGGGUUAUAAAAAGUUAUGUUGGACGAGCCACGAAAGAGUUAGUUAUCGAGGAGUUUUUGCGUGUCCUUUGUUUUUGAGUCGUGUUUGGUAGGUUUAAGGGCAAAUUAUGCACAAGUUUUCAUAUAUGGGUACCUAACUUGGAAAAAUUAUGUAAACAACAUUUUUUAAGCAUGGAUUGGGUAGCAAAAAGUUUUUUUGGACGAGCCAUGACAGAGGUAUUUAUCGAGGAGUUUUUGCGUGUCCUUUGUUUUCGAGUCGCGUUUGGUCGGUUUUAGGGUAAAUUAUGUACAAGAGGUCAUGUAUGGUUACCUAACUUGGAAAAUUUCUAUGAAUGGAAUUUUUUAUGAAUGGAUUGGGUAGCUAAAAGUUAUUUUGGAUGAGCCAAGAAAGAGGUAGUUAUAGAGGAGGUUUUGCGUGUCCUUUGUUUUCGAGUCGCGUUUGGUUGGUUCAAGGGAAAAUUUUGUACAAGAUGUCAUAUAUGGGUACCUAACUUGGAAAAAUUCUGUGAACGACAUUUUUUAAGCAUGGAUUGGGUAGCAAAAAGUUAUGUUGGACGAGCCACUAAAGAGGUAGUUAUCGGGGAGUUUUUGCGUGUCCUUUGUUUUCGAGUCGCGUUUGGUCGGUUUUAUGGCAAAUUCUGUACAACAUGUCAUAUAUGGGUACCUAACUUUGGAAAGAUUCUGUGAAUGGCAUUUUUUAAGCAUGGAUUGGGUAGCAAAAAGUUAUUUUGGAAGAGCCACGAAAGAGGUAGUUAUCGAGGAGUUUUUGCAUGUCAUUUGUUUUCGAGUCGCGUUUGGUCGGUUUUAGGGCAAAUUCUGUACAAGAUGUCAUAUAUGGGUACCUAAAUUGGAAAAAUUAUAUGACCGNNNNNNNNNNGAGGUAGUUAUCGAGGAGUUUUUGCAUGUCAUUUGUUUUCGAGUCGCGUUUGGUCGGUUUUAGGGCAAAUUCUGUACAAGAUGUCAUAUAUGGGUACCUAACUUGGAAAAAUUCUAUGACCGGCUUUUUGCGUGUCCUUUGUUUUCGAGUCGCGUUUAGUCGGUUUUAGGGCAAAUUAUGUACAACAUGUCAUAUAUGGGUACCUAACUUUGGACAAAUUCUGUGAAUGGCAUUUUUAAGCAUGGAUUGGGUAGCAAAAAGUUAUUUUGGAAGAGCCACGAAAGAGGUAGUUAUCGAGUCACGUUUGGUCAGUUUUAGGGCAAAUUUUGUACAAGAUGUCAUAUAUGGGUACUUAACUUGGAAAAAUUCUUUGACCGGCUUUUUAAGCAUGGAUUGGGUAGCCAAAAGUUAUUUUGGACGAGCCAUGAAACAGGUAGUUAUCGAGAAGUUUUUGCGUGUCCUUUGUUUUCGAGUCGCGUUUGGUCGGUUUUAGGGUAAAUUAUGUACAAGAGGUCAUGUAUGGUUACCUAACUUGGAAAUUUUCUAUGAACGGAAUUUUUUNNNNNNNNNNNNNNNNNNNNNNNNNNNNNNNNNNNNNNNNNNNNNNNNNNNNNNNNNNNNNNNNNNNNNNNNNNNNNNNNNNNNNNNNNNNNNNNNNNNNNNNNNNNNNNACUUGGAAAAAUUCUAUGACCGGCUUUUUGCGUGUCCUUUGUUUUCGAGUCGCGUUUGGUCGGUUUUAGGGCAAAUUAUGUACAACAUGUCAUAUAUGGGUACCUAACUUUGGACAAAUUCUGUGAAUGGCAUUUUUAAGCAUGGAUUGGGUAGCAAAAAGUUAUUUUGGAAGAGCCACGAAAGAGGUAGUUAUCGAGUCACGUUUGGUCAGUUUUAGGGCAAAUUUUGUACAAGAUGUCAUAUAUGGGUACUUAACUUGGAAAAAUUCUUUGACCGGCUUUUUAAGCAUGGAUUGGGUAGCCAAAAGUUAUUUUGGACGAGCCAUGAAACAGGUAGUUAUCGAGAAGUUUUUGCGUGUCCUUUGUUUUCGAGUCGCGUUUGGUCGGUUUUACGGUAAAUUAUGUACAAGAGGUCAUGUAUGGUUACCUAACUUGGAAAUUUUCUAUGAACGGAAUUUUUUAAGAAUGGAUUGGGUAGCUAAAAGUUAUUUUGGACGAGCCAAGGAAGAGGUAGUUAUAGAGGAGGUUUUGCGUGUCCUUUGUUUUCGAGUCGCGUUUGGUUGGUUCAAGGGCAAAUUUUGUACAAGAUGUCAUAUAUGGGUACCUAACUUGGAAAAUUCUGUGAAUCAAAUUUUUUAAGCAUGGAUUGGGUAGCAAAAAUUUAUGUUGGACGAGCCACUAAAGAGGUAGUUAUCGAGGNNNNNNNNNNUUUUUAAGCAUGGAUUGGGUAGCAGAAAUUUAUGUUGGACGAGCCACGAAAGAGGUAGUUACCGAGGAGUUUUUGCGUGUUCUUUGUUUUUGAGUCACGUUUGGUCGGUUUUAGGGCAAAUUCUGUACAAGAUGUAAUAUAUGGGUACCUAACUUGGAAAAAUUAUGUGAACGGCAUUUUUAAGCAUGGAUAGGGUUAUAAAAAGUUAUGUUGGACGAGCCACGAAAGAGUUAGUUAUCGAGGAGUUUUUGCGUGUCCUUUGUUUUUGAGUCGUGUUUGGUAGGUUUAAGGGCAAAUUAUGCACAAGUUUUCAUAUAUGGGUACCUAACUUGGAAAAAUUAUGUAAACAACAUUUUUUAAGCAUGGAUUGGGUAGCAAAAAGUUUUUUUGGACGAGCCAUGACAGAGGUAUUUAUCGAGGAGUUUUUGCGUGUCCUUUGUUUUCGAGUCGCGUUUGGUCGGUUUUAGGGUAAAUUAUGUACAAGAGGUCAUGUAUGGUUACCUAACUUGGAAAAUUUCUACGAAUGGAAUUUUUUAUGAAUGGAUUGGGUAGCUAAAAGUUAUUUUGGAUGGGCCAAGAAAGAGGUAGUUAUAGAGGAGGUUUUGCGUGUCCUUUGUUUUCCAGUCGCGUUUGGUUUGUUCAAGGGCAAAUUUUGUACAAGAUGUCAUAUAUGGGUACCUAACUUGGAAAAAUUAUGUGAACGANNNNNNNNNNAUGUCAUAUAUGGGUACCUAACUUUGGACAAAUUCUGUGAAUGGCAUUUUUAAGCAUGGAUUGGGUAGCAAAAAGUUAUUUUGGAAGAGCCACGAAAGAGGUAGUUAUCGUGUCACGUUUGGUCAGUUUUAGGGCAAAUUUUGUACAAGAUCUCAUAUAUGGGUACUUAACUUGGAAAAAUUCUUUGACCGGCUUUUUAAGCAUGGAUUGGGUAGCCAAAAGUUAUUUUGGACGAGCCAUGAAACAGGUAGUUAUCGAGAAGUUUUUGCGUGUCCUUUGUUUUCGAGUCGCGUUUGGUCGGUUUUAGGGUAAAUUAUGUACAAGAUGUCAUGUAUGGUUACCUAACUUGGAAAAUUUCUAUGAACGGAAUUUUUUAAGAAUGGAUUGGGUAGCUAAAAUUUAUUUUGGACGAGCCAAGGAAGAGGUAGUUAUAGAGGAGGUUUUGCGUGUCCUUUGUUUUCGAGUCGCGUUUGGUUGGUUCAAGGGCAAAUUUUGUACAAGAUGUCAUAUAUGGGUACCUAACUUGGAAAAAUUCUGUGAAUCAAAUUUUUUAAGCAUGGAUUGGGUAGCAAAAAUUUAUGUUGGACGAGCCAGUAAAGAGGUAAUUAUCGAGGAGUUUUUGCGUGUCCUUUGUUUUCGAGUCGCGUUUGGUCGGUUUUAGGGCAAAUUUUGUACAACAUGUCAUAUAUGGGUACCUAACUUGGAAUAAUUCUAUGACCGGCUUUUUAAGCAUGGAUUGGGUAGCAGAAAUUUAUGUUGGACGAGCCACGAAAGAGGUAGUUACCGAGGAGUUUUUGCGUGUUCUUUGUUUUUGAGUCACGUUUGGUCGGUUUUAGGGCAAAUUCUGUACAAGAUGUAAUAUAUGGGUACCUAACUUGGAAAAAUUAUGUGAACGGCAUUUUUAAGCAUGGAUNNNNNNNNNNUUUUUUUGGACGAGCCAUGACAGAGGUAUUUAUCGAGGAGUUUUUGCGUGUCCUUUGUUUUCGAGUCGCGUUUGGUCGGUUUUAGGGUAAAUUAUGUACAAGAGGUCAUGUAUGGUUACCUAACUUGGAAAAUUUCUACGAAUGGAAUUUUUUAUGAAUGGAUUGGGUAGCUAAAAGUUAUUUUGGAUGGGCCAAGAAAGAGGUAGUUAUAGAGGAGGUUUUGCGUGUCCUUUGUUUUCCAGUCGCGUUUGGUUUGUUCAAGGGCAAAUUUUGUACAAGAUGUCAUAUAUGGGUACCUAACUUGGAAAAAUUAUGUGAACGANNNNNNNNNNUUGACCGGCUUUUUAAGCAUGGAUUGGGUAGCCAAAAGUUAUUUUGGACGAGCCAUGAAACAGGUAGUUAUCGAGAAGUUUUUGCGUGUCCUUUGUUUUCGAGUCGCGUUUGGUCGGUUUUAGGGUAAAUUAUGUACAAGAGGUCAUGUAUGGUUACCUAACUUGGAAAUUUUCUAUGAACGGAAUUUUUUUAAGAAUGGAUUGGGUAGCUAAAAGUUAUUUUGGACGAGCCAAGGAAGAGGUAGUUAUAGAGGAGGUUUUGCGUGUCCUUUGUUUUCGAGUCGCGUUUGGUUGGUUCAAGGGCAAAUUUUGUACAAGAUGUCAUAUAUGGGUACCUAACUUGGAAAAAUUCUGUGAAUCAAAUUUUUUAAGCAUGGAUUGGGUAGCAAAUAUUUAUGUUGGACGAGCCACUAAAGAGGUAGUUAUCGAGGAGUUUGUGCGUGUCCUUUGUUUUCGAGUCGCGUUUGGUCGGUUUUAGGGCAAAUUUUGUACAACAUGUCAUAUAUGG
rnacentral:lncRNA from 1 species